CAUAACGCAGCUUCAUUUUCUCGUAGAACUUAGUUCUCUAUUGUGUUCAUUGUGGUCCUGAACUAUUCCUGGUUUUCAUGAGUGAACUUAGAGAAUAUAGCCUUGCAUUCAUUCUCCUAGAAACGGCCUCAUUUCACACUCAUUAGGUGAUUGACCAUGAAAAGUAUUGAGUAAUACUCCGCUUAAGAAGCUAUGGAAUCAUUAAAAGCUUAUGCUUAUCCUUCUCACAUUUGUUAGCACUUUUAUCAUCUUAGGAGCUGGGAAGAGACUACUUGUCUCAAGUGCUUUGGUUAGAUUCUGUUUGAUUUUGUUUUCCCUUUGAACCUACGUCUUGGGAUCUCCAGUCAUGAUAGGUAGGGUUGCAAUCAAGCAUCCUCAUUCGUUAUAGGCUUUAAACCCAUUCAUUUUGAUGAUUUAGCAACAACAUCUCGUGACAAACCUUUAGUAAAUGGAUCCGCUAGGUUGUCAGCCGAUUUGAUGUACUCUAUUGUAAUUACACCAGUUGAGAUAAGUUGUCUAAUGGUUUUAUGUCGUCUUCUGAUGUGACGAGAUUUACCAUUGUAGAGAUUAUUCUCAGCCCGAGCUAUAGCUGAUUGACUAUCACAAUGUAUGCGUAUAGCUGGCACAGGCUUCUCCCACAUAGGAAUAUCUUCCAAAAAAUUUCUAAGCCAUUCAGCUUCUUCCAUCGUCGAUCUGGCUAACACUGUUUGUUUGGUAGAUUUCCAUGAUAUUGCUGCUCCCCCUAGUGUAAAUACAUAUCCACUUGUGGAUUUUGAGUUUUUAGAAUCUGAUAUCCAGUUAGCAUCACUGUAUCCUUCUAAAACUGCUGGUUCUUUACCAUAGUGGAACCCAAAAUCUUUGGUGUAACGUAAGUAAUUGAGUACCCUCGUUAUAGCUUUCCAGUGUGUAUGACCUGGAUUACUUGUAUAUCGACUAAGUACGUUUACUGCAUGCGCUAGAUCUGGUCUAGUACAAUUUGUCAAGUACAUGAGACUUCUGAUCACACGUGCAUACUCGUUUUGUGAAACCGCUUCACCUGAAUUCUUUGUCAAGUGCAUUUGGGGAUCUAACGGAGUUUUUGCCGUAUUAUUAGAGUAAUUUUUAAAUCUCUCUAAUAUUGUUUGAGCAUAAUGAGAUUGGGUUAAGAUAAUUCCGUUUGAAUUUCUUGUGACUUUAACCCCGAGAAUUACAUCUACUAAUCCCAAGUCUUUCAUCUCAAAUGUCCCUUUGAGCAUGUUCUUUGUUUGAUUGAUAAUGUCUUUAUUGCUUCCAAUAAUGAGCAUAUCAUCUACAUAUAGACAUAGCAAAACAUACGCAUUUUUGGUAGUUUUGUAGUAUAUGCAUUUGUCACAUUCAUUUAUUUUGAACCAUUUGACAUCAUUGUAUUGUCAAAUUUUUCGUGCCAUUGUUUAGGAGCUUGUUUAAGCCCAUAAAGUGACUUUACAAGUCGACAUACUUUGUCUUCUUGUCCGGGAAUGACAAAACCUUCAGGUUAUUUCAUGUAAAUUUCCUCUUCUAAAUCACCAUUUAGAAAAGCAGUUUUUACAUCCAUUUGAUGGAUUUCUAGGUCUCUCAAGGCUGCGAUUGCUAUCAUCAGUCUUAUUGAUGUUAUUCUCGUCAUUGGAGAGUAUGUAUCAAAAUAGUCAAGGCCUUCCUUUUGUCGGAAUCCUUGAACUACAAGCCUAGACUUGUAUUUUCCACCAGGUUUGCGUGUCAUUAUCCAUUUAUUUCCUAAUGCUUUGCAGCCAGGUGGUAAAUCCGUUAUGUAAUACGUAUAAUUUUGCAUAAUCGAAUCUAAUUCACUCCUGACAGCUUCGUUCCAAAAAGGAGCUUUUGGUGAAGCCAUGGCUUCUGCCAAAGUUUUUGGAGCAUUUUCUACUAAAAAUGCCAUUAGGAAAUCUUCUCCAAAAGAUUUUUCCUUUCGAGCUCUUUUGCUUCUUCGAGGUUCAUCUUUUCCUUCAUUUUCUGAAAUAUCAUUUAUAGAAAUCUCGACGUUUGUCUCAGUUUCUGAGUUCUUGUCGUUGUCUCUUUCUUCUCGAGUUCGUUUUGAAUCUUGUUUUUCCUUAUAUGGAAAAAUAUUUUCGAAGAAAGAUGCAUUUCUUGAUUCCAUGACUGUAUUUUCAUGAAUGUCUGAUAUUUCAGAUUUAUGUACCAGAAAACGAUAAGCAUUACUGUUAUGUGCAUAUCCGAUGAAGAUGCAAUCCACUGUUUUAGGUCCAAUAGUGACCUUCUUUGGUGGCGGUACCGCAACUUUUGCCAGGCACCUCCACACUUUGAGGUAUUUAUACGAAGGUAACUUUCCUUUCCAUAAUUCAUAUGGAGUUUUGCCAGUUACUUUGUGUGGAAUCUUGUUGAGGAUAUAAUUAAUGGUAAGCAACGCUUCCCCCCACAUGUUCUGGGGUAACCCAGAUUCCUGCAACAUAGCAUUCAUCAUCUCUUUUAGAGUUCGAUUUUUGCGUUCAGCAACUCCAUUAGAUUCUGGUGAGUAAGGAGCUGUAGUUUGAUGGAUUAUUCCAUGUUCUUUACAGAAUGCAUUGAACGGACCAUCAUACUCGCCUCUUCUGUCGCUUCUAACUACUUUAAUAGUUGUUUUAAGCUGAUUCUCGACCUCGAGUUUAAAUUCUUUAAAUUUUUCCAAGGUUUCAUCUUUGCUAUGUAAUAAAUAAACAUAACAAUAUUUUGUGCAGUCAUCUAUGAAGGUCACAAAGUACUUUUUACCACCUCUAGUUUGUAAGUAUUUUAAAUCACAUAAAUCAGUGUGAAUUAAAUCUAGAGGUUUAUUAGUUCUUUCAACACGAGGUGAUGGCGUUUUUGUGAGCUUUGCCUGUACGCAUACUUCACAUUUUUGUUUACUUGUUUUGCAUUUAGGAAUUAGAUUUAAAUUCAUUAAUAUUUGUAUAGACUUGUAGUUUACAUGGCCUAAUCUUUCAUGCCAUAUAUUAAAAGACUCAACCAAAUAAGCAACUGGCUCAUUCUUAUUCAUUGAAACUUUUGGAGCUACAACUUUUGGAGUGACUGUCAUUACAUUCAACUUGACAAGUCCACCCUUAACAUAUCCCCUUCCCAAAUACAUCCCAUUCUUCCUAAUCACGAGCUUAUCCGCCUCAAAACUUGUGGCGAAACCAUUCUUGCUGAGCAAGGUUCCCGAGACUAGGUUCUUCCUCAUGUCAGGCACAUGCUUCACAUUUGUCAGAGUGACCUCACGUCCAAAUGUCAUCUUCAAGAUCACAUUGCCGCGUCCUUCAAUCUUGGAGACUGUAGUGUUUCCCAUCUUGAGCUUCUCCUUAGUCUUGCUUUUCUGAUAGGUGCUGAACAUCGCCCUAUCGGUGCAAAUGUGGGUGGUUGCACCAGUGUCAUACCACCAUUCCUUGAGGUUGUUGCUUUCAACCAUAUUUGCUUCAGUCACCACAGCAACGAGAUCCUCCUCAGUGAGAUUUGCCUGAGCCUUCUCAUCUUUGAUCUUUUUGCGACACUCAACAGUUUUGUGCCCCACUUUGUGGCAGUAGUGACAUUUCCCCUUGAACUUCUCCACAUUCGCAUUGAUCUCAAUACCUUUGUUCUUGAAGUUUUUUUCAGAAGCCUUCAAGGCUGCAGCAGUUUUGGAAGGCUUGGCAGGAGAAUAGGCGUGGGCCUUUCCUUUGCCUUUGUGCUCAGCCAUGUUGACACUGUGCUCCUUUGUACCGACCUUUGCAGCAGUUCGGUUUCUGGAUUCCAUCUGAAGCCUCGUGAUGAGCUCCUCGAGCCCCAUCUUCUUCUUCUUGUGCUUCAAGUAGUUCUUGAAAUCCCCAUAGCUUGGAGGAAGCUUUUCAAUGAAGCUGAGAGUUGUGAAUGUCUCGCAGAUGGACAUUCCUUCAGCAGCGAUUUCAUGGCAAAUGAGCUGAAGCGCUUCCACCUGAUCCAUGAUGGGUUUUGAAUCCACCAUUUUGAAGUCGUGGAAUUUUGAGACUACAUACUUCUGGCAGCCAGCGUCCUCACCUCUGUACUUCUUGUCUAGUGAUCUCCAUAACUCUUUCGCCGUGGGGAUCUCACAAUAGACACGGUACAAUGGGUCAAUGAGGCGACCCAAAAUGUAGCCUUUGCAGAUGAAGUCGGAAUGCACCCAUAUGUCAACAGUUGCGAGGCUGUGAACAUCAUCAAUCCCGUAAGGCAUAAGGGGCUUGUCCUCCUGGAGGAACUUCUCCAGCUUCAUCGUUGCCAGGAAGAACAACAUCUUCUUCUGCCACGUUUUGAAGCCUUUGCCAUCAAAUUGGUUUGGCAUCAGUCCUUGAGUGAACACACUAGGGACAGCCGGAGGAGUUUGAACUGCCACCGGACCACUUACAGUUGCUAAAAUUGAACCCGUCUGAUAAAGACCAGCACCGAAUAGGAUACGGCGAGUGGUUUCAUCAGCAGCAUUCCCUGCAGAGAGGAAAGUGCUCGUUGUUGCUGCAGUGGUUGACGCUGUGAUGUUUCCAGCGGUUGUCACGCCAGUUGCUGCAGCGUUGAGUGGAGUCUGAAUGACAUCCAAGGUGUCCAUGGGAGUGGGGGUGUCGUUCUCGUUUGUCAUUUUCCUGUAGAGAAAACAUGAAAACGGAUUAGUACUCCAUUCAACAAUUACAUAUUAUUUUAAUGAAAAUAAUAGUCUAAAAUCGAUGUUCUUUUUUGGUGUUUGAACCAAAUCAUAUCGAUAUAAGUUUUGAAAAAACGUUUUGCAAACUCGCUUAAAAGCGUUCGCAGAAACCAUUUUUAUAGACUUAGAAUGUUUCACAAACUCGCUUAAGAAAGCGAUCUUGAAACAAUUCAUUUAUAGAACGUUUCGCUAUACUGCUAGAAAACAAUCCGCAAAGCGUUAUUAAUAAAUAAGAAACGUUUCGCGGAAGGGCUAUAAAGCAAAUCGCAAACUCGUUUUCACCAAAAUAAGAAACGUUUCGCGGAUAAGCAUAUAGCAAAUCGCAAACAACGUUUGAUUGAACCCCGAAAGGUUUUUACGAAUCGUAUAUCAAAAAACGUUUUCCGGUAGUGCUACAGAGCAAAACGCAAACCGUUUAUGAGAUAAAUAACAAAACGUUUCGCGGAAGUGCUAGAAAGCAAAUCGCAAACAGCGUUCCAAAACCCGUAUUUAUAAAUCGUUUUUCAACCCGAUUCGAGCUUUAAACGUAAAGCGAUUAAGAGUUAAGAUUGUAAAAGCCGGAAAACCGGAUCAAAAGAAACGAUAUAAUAUAAACGACGUUAAGGAAAAUAUACAGACGAUUCAAAACCGUAACGGAAAUGAAACCAUGGAGUCAAGACGAAUCUCUUUCCUUAACUCUUAAUAUUCGCUCCGUUAGUGCGACGGAUCUGUACGAAUAGGAGUCCCAGGAUAAAACCAUGAUAGGUUAUCACGCAGCCCUCGUGAAGAACCUCUAACGAACUAAUAUUUCUAUGAAACACUCUCUAGACUUACGCUAUAGGAUUUGCUGGUUUUUGUUGUGAAAAAACGUCAAAAGAAAUGAAGGAGGAGACGAGUUUAUAAAGAAGAGAAGACGAGCCACUUUCCGUAACUGAUGCCGCACGUGCGCACGUUGGCGGAAAUCUCGCGAGGAUCUCGGAGGUGAGGCGUUACGAAACUUCCUCCGCAAGAUCAUCUUUUCUCGUUUAUACUUAUCGUCAAGAAGAGAGACAACGUGUUGUUUUUAAACGAACUACGUAUUGUUUAAAAUAAAAUGCAUGUCGUUUUUUCGGGAAUUAAAUGACAAAGCGUUGAGCUUAACUUGGUCCAAAAAGAAUAGUUCUUAUCAGGCCUUUGGUCCGACACCCACGCCCACGCCGAGCCGGCCAGACGGCGGCGCGCGCGUGGAGAGCUCUCUCUUCCUCUGAGCCGUUUAACACAUGGUAUGUGUGAGUGCAUAUAUAUACAGCUCGACUCUUCUCUUCCUCCCCGAUAUAGGACUUUGUAAGUUUCAUUUCAUUAACCACACAUAAGUGGGCUAUUAGGCACACAAGCCCAAUCAUUUGUUAUUCACAUAUUUUAAUUAAACCCAAUUGGUUUAAUUGAUCCAACAUUAACUACACUUCAAAGGCAGCCAAAGUUUCUUCCCUCACAGAACAGCCUUCAUAAGUGGGCUAUUAGGCACACAAGCCCAAUCAUUUGUUAUUCACAUAUUUUAAUUAAACCCAAUUGGUUUAAUUGAUCCAACAUUAACUACACUUCAAAGGCAGCCAAAGUUUCUUCCCUCACAGAACAGCCUUCUUAAUAUUUCUAUAUAAACACUAAAUAAACUAACCAUCACUGCCCUGCCCUGAGAAGCUAUCUUUUAAAAAUCAUUGGGUGAAAAGAAACAUUUCACAACUAUUGUAGGAACUGGAACCAAACAUGGCCAAGUCUCACCAUGACACCAUCUUUGGUUUUUUAUCACAUCGUUGUUUAUUCCUUAUCUAAUGCACUUAUAUAUUUAGACGCGUAUUAGAAUCUACGUCCAUGGUUAUCUCCUCGACUGUUCAGACCAUUUUGCAUGGAUUGUCAUGUGGUGAAAAGAGUGAAGACUUAAAUUGGAUGAUUUAUUAUGCUUGCAUGGAUGCUUUAUUAUGCAUAUAUAAACUGGAUUUGUGAACUGUGCAAAGCAAAAUGGCAAAUAAUUCAAGCAGAGAGACAUGGGGAGAAUCUAAACCACACUUUCAUGACAGUAUCAGAAACCUUUGCUUCUCACUUCUUUUGCUGAGCCUUGAGUUCUUUUACCCUCUCUUCCGUUGCUUUCAAUGCUUUCCCGUAGAUAUCAAUUAACUGCAAAAAUGAAUAAGAGCCACCAAAUUAGGGGAAAAGGGGAAAAAAAAAGAUUUAACAGAUUAAUGAUGUCUCAAGAAUUGUAACCUAUAUAUACCUCAUCGAUCUCUUCAGGUGAGAUAAUGAGCGGUGGAGACAUCAUUAUGCCAUCACCUGCAACACGGACUAACAUACCGCGUUUCUGGCACUCGGCUCCAAAAUAUGCACCAACACCUGUAAACAUCAAUUGAAAACGGUGCAGGGAUGUGUGUAAGGUAAUGAGUUUAGGAGAGAGACACUUUUGUUGUUUGGUUGGUUAUUAGAGAUACUUUACCCCAUUCUGGGGGAAAUGGUUCGUUCGGAGAUUUGUUGUCUGUAAACUCAGUCCCCAGAAUCAAACCCGUUCCUCUUAUCUGAAAACCAUCACAAAAAUGUUCAAUCAAAGACUUCAACAGAUAGGCUGGUGAGUAACAUUAUACCUCUCCAAUAAUAGGACUACUCUUGGCAAAAGCUUUAAGACCAUCUUGAAACCUUGGGGAAACUUUGGCGACAUGUUCUGGUAUGUUCCUCUCCCUGUCAUAUGAAUAUUGAGCGUCAAGAAAGUGCAGAUAAGAAUAGAGAAAUGAGAACCAUAAUCACCAACUCACUUGUAUAUCUUUAACGCUUCAAUUGCUACAGCACAUGAAACUGGAUGACCAGAGUAAGUAAAUCCAUGCGAGAAAGCACCUGAAAUACCAAAACAAAAAAUGGGUUUUAAGAUCUCAGGAUACUGGAAUAUUACAAAGUUGAGCAUAACUAGCCCAUACCUAGCUUGUUGCUUUGAGAAUAUAUGACAUCUGCUACUUCUUGACUCAUAAGAAUGGCACCAAUAGGCAUAUAUGCUGAAGAGAGUGCCUGCAUCAUAUAUUAAAAACAUUUACCAAUUGUCUGGAGAAGUUUCGCAACAGUGAUAGGAAAUCUACAAAUCAUCUGACAAAAUCUCACCUUGGCUAAGGACACAAGAUCUGGCUUGAUGUUGUAUUUGUCACAGCCAAACAUUGUCCCCAGUCGCCCAAAUGCACAAAUCACCUUAUAGACCAAACAUAAUUAUAACGGGUAAUGAUAUCUUUUUUUUUCUUCAUCGUGAUAGUAAACAUGGUUCAAUAAGAUAAUGCAUAUACCUCAUCAGCAAUGAACAGGAUGUCAUACUUCUUAACAACAGCUUGAAUCUGCAGUACAGAAAUGAGAUAAGAAAAAAAAACACAUCACAUCCACAAUGACCUUACCACGAAAAAGAUUAAUCAUUGCAGUUUGGUAUUUAUGCCAACAAAGGUUUCGAAAUUGACCUUUUCAAAGUAUGUAGCAGGCGGAGGUAUCACACCGCCAGCACCCAUUACUGGUUCAGCAAUAAAAGCACCAAUCUGGUAAGAAGACAUUUGCGUUAGAUUGGAGCUGCCAACAUCAACGUUACUAAAUGAAGAUCGUAAUUUCCUUAGAUUGCUCACAGUUUCUGGUCCCUCUUUAAUGAUAAGAUCCUCUAAAUUCUUGGCUAAUCUGGUUGAGAACUCCUCUUCCGUUUCCCCUGCACAAAAAAUUAUCCAAGGUUAAAAUAAAAAGAUCACACUCAAGCUUUUAGCAAAGCUUCCCUUUAACCAAUAAUGGAAUUUAGAAUCCUUCAUACCCGGAAGAUGAAAACGCCAGUAAUGAGGGCAAUCUGUGUGCAACACAAAUGGUGCAGGUAAAUCAAAGUUUUGAUGCAACGCUGGGAGACUGUAAAAUUAGAGAAUCAAUAUUUUGAUGCAUUUGUUAGGCAAAUAUAAAGUCUCUUUGGCAUUUCUAAAGAGAAUAUCUGAGGAACUAUAUAUUCAUCAUACCCGGACAAACUUGCUGAUAUUAAAGUGGAGCCAUGGUACCUGAAAUUCAUAACACCACCCUUAUAAGUAAGUACUUCGAGAGCUUAUAGAAACAGAUAACACACAAAAUGACAAGCAAAUAUCCUUUUCUUUCUCACGAUUUCUUUCUCGCGAUAAACUUUUUCUUCUCAGGCCUCCCAAGUGCGUUAUUGUAAUACCAAACCAGCUUGACCUGCAUAAUACAUGAGAUUUAUAAGCUUCUAAACAAGGAGAUCAAGGUAGAUCAUAUAGUUUGGGGAACCUCAAACCUGUGUAUCAUUGGCCUCUGAUCCACUGUUUGUAAAAAAUGCUUUGGCCAUUUUCUUGGCCGUGAACAUCUCUAAAAGAUCCUUAGCAAGAUCCUGUUUUCGCAGGAAAAAUAUAACACAAUGAUCAAAUUCUCUUUAAUCACCCUAAUUACACAGCAGAAUGUACAAAAAACAUUAUUAAUAAAAGGACAGCAGAAGUAAAAAGUCUCACCAGAGAAGGCUUAGUAGUACGGUUCCAAAAGGAGUGAUAAAAGGGCAAGGUGUUCAAUUGCCCUACAGCAGCAGAAACAAGCCGUGGCUCAUUUCCUCCUGCAAGAUGUUGUGGUAUCAAUGCUAACACUUUCACAAAUAUCCUAGGAAUAGCGAAAUAUACAAAAAGGAAAAAAGAGAAACAUCAAGUCAAAUAGUGUGGUAACAGAAGGAACAAUAUACCUAAGGCAGUACACCAUAGACCAGCGAGAGAGUCAAGAUACUUCUUCCCAUGGUCAUCAUACACAUAACUCCCCUGUAAGAAGAAUGAAAGGAAAAGAAAUGUCACACACUUUUUUGUAGGAACAUUGACGAAUGAAUCAAAAAAGAAGGGGGGUGACCUCGGAUUUGGCUAUGAUCAAAGGAUCUAAAUCAGCACUCUGCCACCCAGCUGUAAAAGGUGCUAGCAUAUCAUGCCCCUUUGACCUGCCCAUCAGAAAACGCAACCACUUAUUCAUCGCCACGUUGACAAAAGCAUGAAACUUUUGCAGAAAAUAAUCACGAGUGUGAAACUUACCCAAGCUUCUCUGGUGAUGCUUCUGUAGUGAGGAUUCUUGAGCCAGGCAUGUAUUGGGAAGAAACAGCAUACCUGCUCUGCAAAGUAACCUGCCAUAUGAGAGAGGAGCGAGUUUUUUGAGCUAUGAAUCAAAAUCACUAUUUGAGUUAAUAUAUAUAAAAUGGAUUCCUUGAAAUUCUUCAAGAUCACUGUUUGGGUAGUUUAUUAUUAUAAAAUUAAAAAAAGGGUUCCUUGAUUACUGGAGAAUCCCACAAAAGUUACACUCUCACAAAGUCACGUUUGAUGGGAAUAUUAUUUGAAAGUACGACUUACAAAAAAAAAGAAAAAGAAGAAAGAAAGAUUCAAUUUUUAAGCAUUUGAACAUGAAUCUGGACAGAAUCCUGAUCUACUACGGGUGAGGAGUGACGAUGAAGCAGCUAAAAAGCAAUCGAAAGGAGCGAGUGAGAAAACCUGGGUAGUGCGCGCCAAUCGUCGGAGGCUGUUGACCACUGCCAUUUCGAAGAUUGAAUCUGUAGAAAUGAUCCUUUGAUUCUUUUGAGAUUUGUUCGCUUUUAAAAACAGAGGAGGAUCAUCAUCGUUGAUACCUUCCUUAUAUGAAUACUCUACAAAAUUAAAUAUCUUUUUUCUUAUUAUCUCUUCGACUCCCAUUUGAUUUUUGAUCAGUGACGUGUCAUUGACUCAUUUUAUUACAUAUAUAUUUUUGAUCAUCGUCCUUGAUACCUUCCUUAGUUUCCAUUCAUUUUUUUCCCACAAAUUGAAUUUAUUCAUACGGAAAAUACCAGUAUUUAUACCGGCCAAACAAAAUAGUCUCAGAACCAAAAGUCCAUAAAAAAUGACAACUAAAUAUCACAUUGAGGCGACUUAAACCCACACCAGAGUGACUUAAAAAAGAACAUAAAACAUAACAACUACAAUGAUAUAAUAGUGCACCUAGCAAUCUUUAGAAAUGAUAAAAUGCCAAUGAUCGAGAAUUACCGCUGCUGCCUAUAGUCCACCACCCGGUACAUUCUACUUCUACACCUAAACCACACUUAUCGAUGCUGCCUUGUCCGCCACACGAUAAGACCAAGACCCGGAGACUUCACAAACUCGACAAGGAGAACACGCUGCUCGGUCCACACUUUUUGGAUAUAUAAACACUCUACGAUCUAAGAAAAAAGCUCCUCCAAACACCAAGAAGAUGAAGCCUUGCCAACCGAAUUUUUUGAACACUUACUGGAGAGAAGAACCAAACGGCAAGCAAUCAAUAGACACAUUACGUCUAAAAGAAAGACUGCUAAGUCACAAGUAACACGACCAAACCCGGCGAAGCUCACUGAGCCACACCACAACUCCCUCCUCAAAAUAAAUCGAUCAAAGCAGCAAAAAGGAAAUGUGGAUGGACCACAAUAACCCACCGCAAUGAAGAAACUUCUAUACUUCAUCUAAUCAAAGAGCUGUUUCUCUGAACAAACAAAAGAUACCCCCGCAAGAAUAUGGACAAACUGACUCCACAUACAACAAACACACAGACCAACGCUUCGAGAAAAAGGUAGAACGAUAAACCUCAUGCCAUGAAGAACAGCGAAGGAAGGGACAAGCAAAAGCUCACCAGACCCACACCAAGUCGCUCUCCCCCAAACCUGAGUCAGAUUUGGAAAGGCACUGAAUCGAAACUACCCUCCUGUGAAGCCAGUGGUGGAGGCAAUUCAUUGUCACGGUAGUCAAAUGACCCACGUGAAAUUAUGAAAACAUUAUGGCUUUUAUUAAGAAUUUUAAAAUGACCCUGGUCCAAAAUAUUUAUUGAUCCCGUUAAAAUUUUUCUGACCCUUAUCCAAAUUACUUUGACCCUAGUCCAAAUUUUGUAUGGACCAUAAUCUAAUAACUACAUUAAUUAAUUUGCAGCCUAUUAGAUUUUAGAUAAAGAAUUACAACAAAAUAAGCCCACCAGAUAAAAUAAACCCAACCAUUAAUAUUAUUUCAAUGACUUAAGUCUAAUUAUUAUAUUAAUUUAGUCAUUUGGACGUUUUGUUUUCUUCUUCUCCUUUCUGGUCUUUCUGAAACUCGUCCAUUACAACAACAGUAGCCAGUAGCGAAGGUAAUAAAUAUUGUAUUUUGUUAAAUAAUUUAUUUAAGCUUUCUUCUUCUACCAAAUAUGAAUAAAGUAUUAUAUUUUUAUAAAAAUCAAAAGAUCUUAAAACUAGUUUUUAUUUAUGGCUUGUUCCUUCGAUUUUUAGAUUAUUUUAUCCUAAUAAUUGUUAUGUUUCAUAGUUUCAAAUGAUAAAAUACCAAAUGUCUACAUAAAGGAUACCAUUUGCACAAAAAACAGAAGGAUUGCUCAACAUACAAAUUUCGUAACUAUUAGACAUAGAGAAUUGAACAUUGUCUGUUAUAUUAUAUACUUGGUUUGAUAUUAUAUUUUGUUUUUAUUUAUGCAGGUACCAUCAGACAAAAUGGAACGAUAUUUGAAUUUGAACAAAAGAAAAGCUCCACCAUCUGAUAUCAACUUGGAUGAUUUGCCGUGGGAUCCAGCUAAGCGGAAAAACAUUCUAGACUACCCUUAUAAUCAAAGAGAUGAAGUAAGGCGCAAGUAUUUGACUAGAGGACCUUGUCAACCUAUUGGUCAUACUUUUCAACAAAAAUCAAUAGGAGGUGUAUUACGACGCUUUAAUCCACGUUGGUUUGAGCAGUACCCUGAUUGGUUAGAGUAUAGUCUGGAUCAAGAGAAGGCUUUUUGUUUGUUUUGUUACUUGUUCAGAGUUCAAGCUGGAAAACAAGGCGGAAGUGAUACUUUUGUAUCAACGGGGUUUUCUAGUUGGAAUAAGGCUGAUAGUUUCAGUAAGCAUGUGGGAGAUCAUACUAGUUUUCACAACGAUGCUAGAAAUAAAUGUGAAGACUUGAUGAGACAAAGUCAGUCUAUCAAGCAUGCUUUACAUAAACAAACCAAUGUUGUGAAGAAUGAUUAUCAGAUCCGUUUGAGUGCUUCGAUUGAUGUUUCUAGACACUUGUUACACCAAGGACUGUCUUUUCGUGGUCAUGAUGAGAAAGAAGAGUCAACAAACAAAGGUAAUUUCUUAGAGCUUCUGAAGUAUACGGCUAGUCAGAAUGAGGCUGUUAGAAAAGUUGUGAUGAACAAUGUUCCUAAAAAUAAUCAGAUGACUUCUCAUCCUAUCCAGAAAGACAUUGCUCAUUGCUUUGCGGAAGAAGUAACUAAGUCUGUCAUACAAAAAAUCAACAAUGAUGUAUUUGGCUUGCUGGUAGAUGAAUCGGCUGAUAUUUCAGAUAAAGAGCAAAUGGCUGUGGUUUUUCGUUUCGUUGAUAAAUUUGGGCUCGUAAAAGAAAGAUUUGUUGGUCUUAGUCAUGUGAAAGAGACAUCUUCUUCAACUCUGAAGGAUGCUAUUGAUGAUUUGUUUUCGAAACAUGGAUUGAGUUUGAAAAAGGUGAGAGGACAAGGUUAUGAUGGGGCCAACAAUAUGAAAGGAGAAUUCAAUGGUUUAAGAUCUUUGAUUUUGAGAGAAAGUAGAUCUGCAUAUUAUGUUCACUAUUUUGCUCAUCAACUUCAGUUGGUUGUUGUGGCUGUUGCAAAGAAGCAUUUUGAAGUUGGAGAAUUUUUCGAUAUGGUUCAUGUUCUGUUGAAUGUGGUUGGGGUUCUUGUAAAAGAAAAGUUAUGCUCACUGAAAGUAAUCGCAAGAGAAUGGAAGAAGAGAUUAGUAAGGGUAAAAUGAAGACUGGAACUGGGCUGAAUCAAGACCUUUCUCUUAAAAGACCUGGAUAUACUCGUUGGGGUUCACAUUACAAGACUUUAUUACGUCUUGUUGUGAUGUUUCCAUGUAUUAUUGAAGUUCUUGAACAUAUUCAGAUAGAAGGCAAAGAUGGCACCAAAAGACAACAAGCAUAUGGUCUCCUCAAAUAUUUUCAGACAUUUGGUUUUGUCUUUCAUCUACACUUGAUGCUUGUUGUUUUGGGACUCACUAAUAAUUUGUCAAAGGCUCUACAGAAAAGAGAUCAAGAGAUCUUGAAUGCAGUUUCAUUGGUUGAAUCUACUAAGCAACAAUUAUAGAAGCUUAGAGAUGAAGGAUGGGAUGAUUUUGUGGCUGAAGUUUAUUAUUUUAGUGAGAAGAAUAAUAUUGAAGUGCCUAGUAUGGAAGAAAACUUUGUUGACUCAAGAAAACCAAGGAGUAAAACUGGCAUCACAAACUUGCAUCAUUAUAAGGUGGAGUGUUUUUACACUGUUCUAGAUUUGCAGCUUCAAGAGUUCAAUGAUCGAUUUGAUGAGGUGAAUUCUGAACUACUAAUCUGUAUGGCAUCCUUAAGUCCGACAGAUUCUUUUGUUCAGUUUGACAAGUCAUUGUUGGUGAGACUAGCUGAGCUUUAUCCAGAUGAUUUUAGUUGUGUGGAGCGAAGAUCUCUUGAGCAACAGUUUGAAAUCUACCUUGAUAAUGUGAAAAAGAUGAAAGAUUUUCUAAUCUAGAGAGUAUUGGUGAUCUUGCUCGUGUAUUGGUUGAGACAAGGAAACAUCUUUCUCAUCCUUUGGUUUAUCGUAUUUUGAAGCUAUGUUUGAUUCUUCUUGUUGCAACUGCAAGUGUUGAAAGGUGCUUCUCUGCCAUGAACAUUGUGAAGACGGCCUCGCGUAACAGUAUUGGUGAUGAAUUUUUAAGUGAUUAUCUAAUUUGUUUCAUUGAAAAGCAAAUUCUUGAUACAGUGGCAAACGAAACAAUCAUAAAAAGCUUUCAAAAUAUGAGUGAGCGUAGAGUACAUCUUUGAAAUUCGAUGUACGGUGAUAUUUUUAUUAUUCAAUAGUUUAUGUACUUUAAGCAAAGUUAUACUAUGACCCCCGUCAACAUUUUCUCUGCCUCUGCCACUGUGUGAAGUCCUGCCCCGACGAAUCCUUGCAGCAUCUCGUUGCUAUUCCAGUGACGUGACAGACUCUGCCUCGCCGAUUUAGAUCCUCCAGAAACUCCAAGAAAAUCAAGAAUAGCGCGCAUUUCGAUACAGUGCAAAAAAAAAGACGAAAUCGGUAAGGAACAUGAGAAAGGACAAAAAAAACUACAAAAAGAGGAGGAGGAGAGGGCUCUCACGGUGACUAACCACCGGAUACGCCCCUCUUCUGAUAUGAUUCUGUUGACAGUGCUUUUAGGAUUUUCGCAAGUGUAUUCUCUUUCACGACUAGUUUCUAUUCAUUUUGGCAGCCAUAUUUUGCAAAUUCCUUACCAUAUUAAAUCACACCAACUACGCCAGCUUGUUUCUUUUUUCUUUUAAUUCAAAAGUUGAUUAAUAUUAAAUUGAAGUUCGUAGGAACAAAAUAAUUAUGUUGUGUGAAUAUUUUUUUAGCAUAAAAUAACAUAAAAAUAACAAACAUAUUGCGGUAAGAGAUCGAUGAUAGAAUCAUUUUCAGUACUGCUAAACUGUUUCCAUUUUAGUGAGUGGUUAGCGUAUACUUGUUUUUUUUUUUUUGAAAAAAAGCGUAUACUUGACUUGUUUUACCUAUUGCAGCUAAAGGUUACGGCCGAUUAUUAUUGUCAAGAUAGUCAUCUUCGCUGAUAUGUUCAUUUUGUUUUUCUAUUUAAUAACUUGAAUCACAGUGGUAACAUAUAUAGCGUUAACAAUCAGUACAAAUUUAGAUAUCAUUCAUUAGGUUAGUAUAUGUUUAUCGAUGCAUGAAACAAUAGAGAAAACGAUCCGUGUUACAAAAAUUACAAAUCAGUCUCAUCCAUGUCAUAGAUGACAAUGACAAGACAGUCACAUAAGAUAAGAAACUUUUUUUGUCUUCUCAUUCAAAUAUUAUUUACUAUACAGAAAAAAAAUUAAGAACUAGCAGAAACUAAACUGUGUGGCGUUUUACAGCUUAAUAAACGCUGAGAAGUUCAGGUUACAAGGCGCAAUUUAGCACCCCGACGGCGUGCAAUCUAUCCAUCAUUCAUUCAUUCGUAUCUGAGUAGAGGGAAACGAAACGAUAAAUCAAUUUCUAGCAAGUCAAUUCCUAUCUGUCAAUCUUCUUCGCAUUUUAGAGCGAGAAAAUGAGACUUUUUAGAGAGAGAGAGAGAAAAAGUAGGCAAGAAAGACGGUCACUGACUGAAUAAAAGAUCACUCACUCUCACACCCUUUCAAGAGAUCUCAUCGCCCGAUCUUUCCUUCCUUCCCCGCCGGUAAAGUUUCUAGCUUUGCUUCUUCUCUCGUGUCUCUUCGUUUCUCAAUUUGAGAGUUUACUGCAAAGUUUCCUUAUUUAUUCCAAUACAGAGUUGCUGAUUAAAAGUAUUCAUCAAUAAAGUUUUGGUUUUAAUUUUGAGAUCCUAACAUUGUCCGAAGAAUCUAGCUACUCAUUUCAGUUUCCUUACUUGUGUAUCUAUUGCUGCUUCAGCCCAAAAAGGAAAGUUUGUUUCUUUCUCUAUAAUUCAGCUGCUAUUCAAUUCUGCAGGUAGUUCUUAACUUGCUUUGAUAGAAAAUGGGUGCUUCAGGGAGAUGGAUUAAAGCACUUGUUGGUUUCACCAAGUCUGAUAAGUCAAAGUCUAAAAAGAAGGAUGAUAAUGUAAGCACACACUAUGUUAUUUCUUUACAAGAGAAUCUCUUUAUCUAAAUGCCAAAUGUUGUAUACUUUCUUCACCUUUUUUUUUGUAUUUUCAUUAUAUGUUUGUUCAAUUGGCGAAGGUGAAGACUGCAACCAAGAGCCGGUUUGGGAGAAACCAUUCUGUUGAUUUUGAUGCUGAAAAGUUUCAACUUGGAUUUGAAGAUUCCAAUACGCAUAGCAGCAUGUUAGAUAAUGGGGUCUCCACUUCAACUUCUUAUGGUGCUGCUAAUGAAGAACAAAGGAAGGAGCACAUGGCUGCAACUCGGAUUCAAACAGCUUUUCGAGGGUUUCUGGUAUCAUCAUCACUUUCUUCGCCCUGUCAACUUUUUUUUUAAUAUUUGUCUCAAGCGUUACUGAGAGAAAGAUGAUACCUUUUUUCUCAGGCUAGAAGGGCUUUACGAGCAUUGAAGGGAUUGGUUAGACUUCAGGCCCUUGUUAGAGGACACGCGGUGAGAAAGCAAGCUGCUGUAACGCUUCGAUGCAUGCAAGCGUUAGUAAGAGUCCAGGCUCGUGUACGCGCAAGACGUGUUCGUCUCGCCUUGGAAAGUGAAACGGGUCCGCAGAUGCUUCAGCAGCAGCUUGCAGAUGAAGCCAGGGUUCGAGAAAUAGAGGUGUGAUGAUCACUUGUCUCAGUUAUUUAACUUUUGCAAAGAGAAUUAUAGUUAUGUUGACUAUUUGUUCUCAUUUCUCAGGAAGGUUGGUGCGAUAGCAUUGGUUCUGUUGAACAAAUCCAAGCCAAGAUACUAAAGAGGCAGGAAGCUGCAGCUAAGCGUGAGAGGGCUAUGGCAUAUGCUUUGACUCACCAGGUUACUCACAACAACCUCUAUGCUUGUUAAGAAGUAACUGUUUGAAUUUUCGCACUUUGUACUAAUCAAAACAUUCCUUAUAACUCUUAUCUGAUUGUCAUGGGUUCUCUUCUAUAGGAUCAAUCUUUAACCAAACACUAUGAUAGCAAAACUGAAGCUGUAUACUCUUAAAUCUUACAUAUAAAAUUUGGUAUGUUGUAGUGGCAAGCAGGAACUCGGCAGUUAUCUGCGCACAGUGGUUUUCAGCCUGACAAAAACAACUGGGGAUGGAACUGGCUAGAAAGAUGGAUGGCUGUUCGUCCAUGGGAGAAUCGGUUUCUUGACAGUAACCUCAGGGACGAUGCCAUAUUAGGUGAAAACAAUAUGGAGCAAACUGAGAGUGUUGUGCAUAAAACUCAGAUGAAAAUUGCAAGCAAGAUUCCAAACACUUCAAAUCUUGCGUCCGGUGUUUCGAGUCAGAAGGUAACCGGGCCAUCUCUGUCGGAUGGUAAUUCCACUUCACCUGGAAUAUCUUCAAGCAUGCCAGUGCCAGUGGUGUCCAAGGAUAGGUCAAAGCUCGCUAAAGACGAUCUUGCUGUAGAAGUUGUUAACUCAAGACCUGGUGCUGGUCCAAGAUCACACAGCAAUCCAAAAGAAAGAUCAAGAGCGCCAGAUAGAGCUUCUAAGGAACGAUUAUCUCUGCCAAACAGUGGUCAGAUCUCUUUCUGUAUCCCCUAAGUUUCCUCUUUUUUUUUUUCCCUUUUUGAUGGUUGAGUGAAUAGUCUUAUCAACAUGGGGAUAGUGAUAAGAAAAUCAGCUUUGCAUUACUCAUAAGAAUACAGACCACAACUUAUAUGUGUAUACCUAAGAAGCAAUACAUUUGAUCUUUGAAACAUUUAGGCUGUCUUUUGACCUUUUUUUUUCCUUUUUAAGGCUAAAAUUGUGAACAUUGGUUCUUGAGCAGGAAAAUCCUUAGGAUCUCAGUCAGCUAAAGCCAAAUCUUCCCAAAACCAGAAAAGACGCAACUCUGAUCCAAUAAAACAGAGGCUUGCAUAGCCCUGGCUAGAGUCUCUGAGAAUCGUCAGUCCAUCUAUCACUCCCAUCGUUCCUGUACAUAAACACAGCUUCUGAAAAUGGAAACAAAAAGAGAAAAAGAGGAUAUCAUGUGAGAACACAAUGGGUUACAUUCAGAGACUUGCGUGGUGGUUAGAGAUGUCAAAUGGGCUGUCCAUGUCCACUGGACAUGUCCAAAUGGACAAAUCAGUUUAUUGGACAUUAUUUUUUUUAAGUCCAAAUUAUACCAAGUUCAAAUUGUCCAGACCAAAUUGGACCAUUCCAAAUGGGCAUUCCGCGGAGUCCAAUUAAAAAAUCAGUGUUAACAUACAAAAAUUCAUAUUUAAUAUAUUAUUAUGUGUUGUAGAAUUCAAAAGCAUAGAUACGAUUUUGGCGAGAAAUCUCGAUUUACGGUUUUGGAGGAAAAUCUCGAUUUUACGGUUUUGGCGGGAAAUCUCGAUUUUAUAGUUUUGGCGAGAAAUCUUGAUUUUACGGUUUUGGCGGAAAAUCUCGAUUUUACGGUUUUGACAGAAAAGUAUAUCUACAGUUUUGGCGGAAAAUCUCGAUUUUACAGUUUUGGCGAAAAAAUCUCGAUUUAUGGAUUUGGCGGGAAAACUCGAUUUAUGGUUUUGGCGAAAAAACUUGAAAAUUCAAUUUUACGGUUUUGGCGGAAAAACUAGAUUUACAGUUUUGGCGGGAAAUUUCGAUUUUACGGUUUUGGCGGAAAACGAGAUUUUACGGGUUUAACGUAAAAAUGUGAUUUUACGGUUUUGGCAAGAAAACGUUAUUCCACGGUUUUAACGGGAAAAUAUGAUUUACGGUUUUGACGGAAAACAUGAUUUUUACUCAAAUACAUUAACCCUAAAUAUUUUAAAAUUUUGGGCCGUCCAUGUCCAUCUGGAUUUGUCCAUUUGGAUAUGGGUGUAUUUGGGCCUCGUCCAUUUGCACAAAACAAAAUUAUGGUCAAAUAUGGGUAUGUCCAUAUUGGUUUGGACAUGGGCUACCCAUGGACAGCAUGCCCAUUUGACAUCCCUAGUGGUGGUACAUUGAUCAGAACUCAGAAGAGAACACCAUCGUCUUGGCGUCUUUCUGCCUUCAUUGUUGUUUGUUAUUUGUGUGUCAGACAUCCUUUUUCUUUUGUCCAUGAUUCUUAUAUGGAUUAUUAGUACGUAGUGUUAUUAUUCAAGUAAAGUUGUUUGGGGUAUAUGAGUGAGACAGUUUUUUUUUGUUGGGAGAACGAACCAUGCUGCUCCUGGCCUUCCCAAUGUGAUAUAUAUACAGUAGUGUGUUGUAUUUGGUAUAAGUUCCAAUUAUUCAGAGUGAUAAUAUAUAUUAUCAUCAUGAUAAGGUAUCACUUGGCUUGUCAUCUUUUCGAAACAGGAAAGUGAAUCAUUAAUUAAAGUGCAGGGAAGGAAAUGUCAACAAGCGAAGAGAUCACGAAAGCAAAAAAGCCCUAAACAUUCCCUGUGAAAGUUUUCUAAGGAAGCAAAUUCAAAAAAUGCAACAUAAAAGGAUUUAAUUGAAUCGACAUUUAUAUUAAAGAACAUACAUGUAUACAAAACACAUGACAUAUACAACCAUAAGGAUUUGAUGCAGCUUUUCUGAAUCUUGGAACCAUACUACUACUACUACUUUACCUCGAAGUUGCACAAUGUGCAAUAUAGAAGAGCCUCUUCGUUGUUUCCCUGUUGUUCAGACCUCUCUUCCUUCUUUCCCUGUCGUCUUCGAGAACAAACAUGCAAUAGAAGAUAGCUAGAGGCUUGUAGCAAGAUUUGUAGGAACCUGAAACUCGUUAAAUUUGCAAACAUCCAUGCAUGUGUGCAAUUUGGUAUUCGGUUAUAUGGUUUUAUCCUAAGAUUCAAGUUGCUAAACCUCGUCUCUAUCUCUUAUUAGAUUUGGAAGUAGAUACAGCUUGAAAAAGCAUUUAUAAACAUGACACCGGAGAGUAAAGGCGGAUCAAAAUGUAUUUCCCAAAUGCUUCCUCCGACAAAAGUUGCACAGAAAGCAUAGUCAGCGACCACCACCACCAACAUGCAAAACACUGUAUUAUUACUUUAGGACUAAUUCUGAUAAACAAAUUAGCUAUAUGUUUUAGUUUUAGCCUAGUUUCGAUUUGUUUUUCAUAAAACUUAAUUUAGUUCUCCGAAAUAGCAGAUUUUGAAAAUUACACAUACAAUACACACAUUUACAAACCUGUUAGAAAUUUUCCACCACUAUAAAUUUUACACAUUCACAGGCUUUUGUUAGUCUUGAACCUGAAAAAGAAUUGAAAACCUUUUGCUAGUGUCAUAUACAAGCUAAAUACCACUAUACUAGGUUAUGAUAUCUAAAGUAUACAAACUAAAUAAUAGAUAUUAUUGUAAAUAAAAAACAUAAGCUAAAAUAUUGAAACAAGUAGAAUCUUUAAUCGUUCGUGGACCAACCAUAUAAAAGCCUAACUCUAGAACUAGAAGACGCCUACUUUAUAGACCAUAGUAUAUAUUCAUUCAUAAUGCCAUUAGUCACGCUUCAUCUAAAUUACCAAGUCAGUCUUGGCACGCGCAACGCGUGCGCAGUGGAGAAGAUAUGGAACACUCACACACACACACGGAUUUUUUUAACGGAGAGAGACAGAGAGAAACCCUAGACACCAAAGAAAAAAAGAAAAAAAAAAGGAAUCGUGCCUCCUCCUCCUCCUCCUCCUCCUCCGCCCACUCGCCCCCUCAGAUCGCGUGAACAUCACAAACCAUUUUCUCUCCUCCUUCCCUCUCUCUCUCUCUCUCUCUCUAUCAUCCAUCCUCCCUUCCGCAGAUCGAAACGCCAACUCGCACCGAUUAGCGCGUGCCUCCUCAUCGCGACGAGAUUACAGCUUAUUGCUCUCGAUUUUCCUCUUCGUUCCAGGUGAUUCCAUCUCAUCUUCGUUACAGUGAAAAAACCACCACGGAUUCUAUAUAUAUAUAUAUAUAUAGUGUUCGAUUUCAUUGAGAAUUUUCUGAUUAAUCUAGUAGUUGCAGGAAGUGAUGGACAUAGAUCUUCGACUACAUUCAGGCGACCUCUGCAAAGAAGGCGACGACGAAGAACACAGAGGACUUGACAACGAAGACAUAGACAUUAGCAAAAUCGAGGAUGACGUCACCGUUGAGCCACACACCGAUAACAACGGCAUCACUCUUCCAGAGCACAACACACAACAACAACAACAACAAGGCGUGAAUCUUGAACCGCUUAACGGCAUGGAGUUCAACUCGCACGGCGAGGCGUACACCUUCUACCAAGAGUACUCUCGAACCAUCGGCUUCAACACUGCUAUACAGAACAGUCGCAGGUCGAAAACCACUAGAGAGUUUAUCGACGCCAAGUUCGCUUGCUCUAGGUACGGUACUAAACGGGAGUACGACAAGUCUUUCAACAGGCCGAGAGCUAGACAGAGCAAGCAGGAUCAUCCUGAGAACAACAUGUCUGGUCGGAGGACGUGCGCGAAGACUGACUGUAAAGCGAGUAUGCAUGUUAAGAGGAAGCCUGAUGGGAAGUGGGUGAUUCACAGCUUUGUGAGGGAUCAUAACCACGAGCUUUUGCCUGCUCAAGCUGUGAGCGAGCAGACGAGGAAGAUCUACGCUGCCAUGGCUAAGCAGUUCGCUGAGUACAAGACUGUCAUCAGCUUGAAGAGUGAGUCCAAAACUUCUUUUGAGAAAGGUCGGAGUUUGUCUGUGGAGACUGGGGAUUUCAAGCUUCUCCUUGAGUUCUUGUCGCGGAUGCAGAUUCUGAACUCCAACUUCUUCUACGCGGUGGAUCUUGGUGAUGAUCAGCGUGUGAAGAAUGUGUUUUGGGUGGAUGCCAAGAGCAGGGUUAACUAUGGCAGUUUUUGUGAUGUUGUUUCUCUUGAUACUACCUACGUGAGAAACAAGUACAAGAUGCCACUUGCUAUUUUUGUUGGUGUGAACCAGCACUACCAGUAUAUGGUCCUUGGGUGUGCUUUACUAUCUGACGAGAGCGCAGCUACAUUCUCUUGGCUAAUGGAGACUUGGCUGAGAGCGAUGGGUGGACAAGCUCCAAAGGUUUUGAUCACUGAGCAAGAUCCUGUGUUGAACUCCAUUGUCCCUGAGGUCUUCCCUAAUACACAGCAUUGCCUUUUUCUUUGGCAUGUGUUGAUUAAGGUCUCUGAGAAUCUUGGUCAAGUCGCUAAGCAACAUGAGAAUUUUACAGCGAAGUUUGAGAAGUGCAUCUAUAAAUCAUGGAAGGAGGAAGACUUUGCGAGGAGAUGGUGGAAGAUUCUUGCUAGAUUCGGUCUCAAAGACGAUCAAUGGAUGCAGUCUUUAUAUGAAGACCGAAGGAAAUGGGCACCGACCUACAUGACCGAUGUUCUUUUGGCAGGGAUGUCUACGUCUCUGAGAGCUGACAGUGUUAAUGCUUUCUUCGACAAGUACUUGCACAAGAAGACGAGCGUACAGGAGUUUGUGAAACUGUAUGAUACGAUUUUGCAAGAUAGAUUUGAAGAAGAAGCCAAAGCUGAUUCGGAAACAUGGAACAAGCCACCAACAAUGAAGUCCCCAUCGCCAUUUGAGAAGAGUGUUUCCGACGUCUAUACUCCUGCUGUAUUCAAAAAGUUCCAGAUCGAAGUUUUGGGUGCAAUCGCGUGUAGUCCCAGGGAGGAGAACCGAGAUGCAACGUGCUCUACUUUUAGAGUUCAGGAUUUUGAAAACAAUCAGGACUUCGUGGUUACAUGGAGCCAAGCAAAGGCUGAAGUCUCUUGCAUGUGUCGGUUAUUUGAGUAUAAAGGCUAUCUCUGCAGACACACGCUUAACGUUCUCCAGUGUUGUCAUCUUUCUUCCAUCCCCUCUCAGUACAUAUUGAAACGGUGGACCAAAGAUGCAAGAAGCCAGCAUUUUCCAGGAGAACCUCAGCAGUUGCAGACGAGGCUCCAGAGGUAUAAUGAUUUGUGCCAGAGAGCUUUAAAGCUGAGUGAAGAGGCAUCCAUCUCUCAAGAGAGUUACAAUAUUGCCUUCCUUGCUAUUGAAGAAGCUUUGGGAAACUGUGCUGGUGUUAAUACUUCCGGCAGAAGUCUUCCAGAUGUGGUCGCUUCGCCAACACAAGGUCUGAUAUCCGUCGAGGAGGAUAAUCAGAGCAGAAGUGCAGUCAAGACGACGAGCAAGAAAAAGAAUCCAACUAAGAAAAGAAAAGUAAACUUCUUGUUCAUGAUCUCUCUGUACAUGCACAACUUAAGGUUUUUCUUAGCUUUGCGCUUUUAUGAAUUGCAAGUCUUAUGAUCCUCCUGACUAUGGAUUGCAGGUGAACUCAGAGCAGGAGGUAAUUCCAGUUACAGCGCCAGAAAGCUUGCAACAGAUGGUCUGUCUUUGUUAACAUGUAGUAGCAAGACUCUGUUAAACUAGAGAGAGUCCCCUAAGUAUAUGAUAUCUGAAUUUUGUAAUUUGCAGGAUAAGUUAAGUCCAAGGACAGUUGGCUUAGAAAGUUAUUAUGGAACACAGCAAAGCGUGCAAAAUCUGGUAACUAAGCACAAAUUACUUGUUAUUAUUCUCUUAUAGACUGAGAUUUUUGUUUGUAAUGUGGUCUGAUUAUAUGUGUGUUUACAGGUCCAGCUGAACUUAAUGGCGCCAAAUCGCGAUAACUUUUAUGGGAAUCAACAAACAAUCCAAGGAUUGGUAUGAAAACAAAAUCGCGAUAACUAAGCUUCUGUUGUUUUUUUCUAUCAUUAACUUUGGAUAAAAACAAAAAAAUCCCCGGCUGGUUUUUUGUAGCGACAGUUGAACUCAAUAGCACCAAGCUACGACAGUUACUACACUGCUCAGCAAGGCAUCCAUGGACAGGUACCUUACCUUAUUCUCAGAGCUUUUACUCGACUGCAAAACCUAUUAAAAAAAUGAUCACUCUUUACUUUUGUUCUUUCUAGGGAGUAGAUUUCUUCCGUCCUCCCAACUUUACUUACGAUAUCCGGGUAAAUUUUCAGUUCUAGUAACAUAUUUGCAUCUCUAGUGGUGAAUUUUUGUUCAUGAAAACAAAUGUUUAUUACUGUACAGGAUGAUCCUAAUGUGAGGACGACACAGUUGCAUGAGGACGCGUCUAGACACACUUAAACCAGGCUAAAACCUAACCAUGGUUCAAAUCUUAAAGAGAGUCCGUCCCUCUGUAGACAAAAAGCCAACAAGCACUUGGAAGAUGAAGCUCAUAUCUCGAUCUGGUUUUGGAAACAGAACAAGGAGCACUUCUUGUUUUAUCGGCUCAAGUGUUUAAAUAGGAUAUGUUGUAUUGUUUCGGUUAUAAAGAUACCGCUUCUGUUAAUAUUUGGUCAGUGUGUGUAUUAUUAGUUCUUGAUGAUCCCCAAAAAAGCUUUUGAUCAUUGAUUGUUCGAAUUUAGAGGAGGGGGAAACAUUUGUUUAGAGGAUAUUUAUCUAUUUAUAAACUCUUGUUAAUUCUUUUCAUCAAGUUUCUUAUAUUUGCAUCAGAUUAUUCCCUGAUCUUAAGCCACAGUAUGGUCUGUUGUUUUGCUCUUUCAUCCUCGUACAAUAUCUAAGACAAUCCUCAGCCUAUUUCUAUUCUUUUUAUAUUUUUCUUCUAGAAUAAAACAAAACUAGGUGUUUUGUCCGCGAUGCGAACUUAGACAUUUUCAUAAUUUUUGAAAAGUUCUUUGUACAAUAUAUUCAUUAUACUAAAAUAAAUCUUAAAAUAAUUUAAUAUUAUAUUUUUAAUUAUAUAAUUUAAAAAAUAUAUUUGAUUAAUAUUUAAUUAUAUCAUUUAUGUUUUAACUUUUUACUAAAAUACUUUUUCAGAUAACAAUACAAUAUAUAUAUAUAUAUAUAUAUUAUUUUUUUUUUAAUUAUAUUUUUGGAUUUUGGAUAAUUCAAUAUUCUAUUUUAAUUAUAUAAUCAAGAAUUUUAUUUGAUUAGUAUUUAGUUAUAUAAUUCAUGUUUUUAACUUUUUAUAUAUAAUUCAUGUUUUUAACUUUUUACUAAAAGACUUUUUCAGAUAAUAAUACAAUAUAUACAGAAAUUAUCUCUUUUUAAAAUUAUAUUUUCAGAUUUUGGAUAAUUCUUACUAUUAUUAAUUUUAAUCAAUUAUCUAAUCAAAUAAAUUAAAAUUUCAUUUUUAUUUUUUCAUUUAGUUAUACAUUUUAUUCAUUAAGGGUAUAAACGAUUAAUCAAUAUUUAGUUAUAUAAUUCAUGUUUUUAACUUUUUAUAUAUAAUUCAUGUUUUUAACUUUUUUACUGAAAGACUUUUUCAGAUAACAAUACAAUAUAUACAUAAAUUAUCUUUGUUUAAAUUAUAUUUUCAGAUUUUGUAUAAUUUUUACUAUUAUUAAUUUUAAUCAAUUAUCUAAUCAAAUAAAUUAAAUUUUUGUUUUUAUUUUUUUAAUAGAUUUACACAUUUUAUUCAUUAAGGGUAUAAACGAUAUUAACCAUUCUAACUUUUAACGUGAGAGCUUGAUUCUAACUUCGCAAAUAAUAGUAUAAAUUAUUAUAGAGGUAGAUUUACUCUAAUGUAUGCUUCUAAAAUAGAAUUUUUAUUUAUAUUUUUCAAAACAAAAUAUAAAAAAAUAUUAUUUUCAUCUAUAUAAAACUACUAUUGUUUUGUAUUUUACUCUAUAAAUAGAGAAAUUCUAUUAUAACGUUAUACAUUCAAAGGAUCAUCACCUUAGAAGAGAUGAUGAGAAAAUGGUUUAAGCUCGAGCAUCACAUUCUUUUAUUCAUUUUCGUAGAGUUGACAUACAUAGCAUCUGUAAAUGGUUUCAAGUUUGAUCAAUAAAUUUGAUAUUCAAUUAAAAAAAAAAUUAUACAUUCGAAUAAAGUCAUCUUUAUAAUAGAGUUUUUUAUUUUAUGAGAAAAUAUAAAAAUAUAUACCGGUGUUGCUCUUAUAACGUGCUCAUAUGAGCAGUGUGAUGAGUGUUUUGCCCAGAAAGUCUAACAGAUAAUAUUUGAUUUUGGUAAGUUGUCAGAUUACUGGUUGACACAAAAAAUAUUUAAAAACUAAAAACCUCGUUGUAACAUAGUGUUUAAAACUAUCAAUUUAGUUAAAAAUAGAAAAACAUACAUUCCAAAAACGAAAAAAAUGAAAAUAUAAAUUUAAUUCACAUAUUAGAUUUAGUAAUCAUUACACAUAGUAAAUUCUGUGGUUUUCUAAACUUAUUUAAUGAACAACACUCCUAAACAAAUAAUGAUUCAUAUUAGUCCCCAUAAAGUAUAUAUUAAAUGUGUGAAUUGAUGCAAAGUUCUAACAAAAGAGAACGAUGAUUUAGUUCCCCAUAUUACAUAUCACACGUCAGGAUUUGGUUUUGUUUGAAAAUUCUGACUAGUUUCAUGUCUGAUCUUUGGUCGUAACUUGUUUUACAUUCAUUCUAAGUCACCUUACCCCGUCAAUUAAUUUAUGCCCACUCAUUCCUUAAUCAACUGCGUAAAUUAAAUAAUAUGUACACCUAUGGUCCUAUCAAUUAUCAAAAGACUAGUGUCUUAAGUAUCACUAGAUUUUCACCCGUGCAACCGCACGGAUGUUUGUUUUCACUUUUCUAUACAUAAAUUAUUGUUUUAGAACAUAAGUGGUAUAUAUUUUUAAUGUUAAUCAUAUACUUAAAUAUUUAUAUAACUAUUUCAAAUACGAUAAUUUUAUAAUUUACAUGUUAUAAUUAAUUAAUUGUUUAAACCUUAUGUAUUUGUCACUUCUUAUUAUAUAUUUAUCUUAUUGUAUUUGCAUUUAGUUAUUAAGCAAAUUAAUAUAUUCAUGAGAAAAUAUAUUUAAAAAAUAUUUUGUAUUUAAUUUAUGCUAAAUUCUGAUCCGUAUUUCAAAACUGGAUUUCUUUUUACCAAUAUUUUUAUGCUUAUUCAUUUUAGAUAAUUUAUUAUUGUAUAUAUAAAAGUGUAAAAUAUGUUAAUUUUUAGACAAGUAUUAUAUAGUUUUUUAAUUUUAAGUCGUUCUAUCAUUAUAUUAUAUUUUAAAUAAAUAGUUUAUAUUUAUGAAAACAAAAUUUAUAAAUUUAUCAAUUGAAUAUAAUUUUAUCAUAUUUAGUUUAGUAUAAUACUUAUAUUUUAACAUGAUCAUGACUAUAAAAGUAGAUAAAAUAGGAUAUAAUUUAUUUAUUUUCAUUUCUAAACAAUAACUUAAAAUACAUUAAGUUAUUGUUUAAAUAUUACACAGAUUUAUUAGAAUUUUUAAAAUAUAAUAUAUAAAUAUAUAUUAUAUUUAAAAUGAAAAUAUAUUAUGAUUAAAGUAGUUACAAAGAUUUUUUAUUAUUAACUUUAAAGAAAUACAUGUUAAUUUUUAUACAUGUAUUAUAUAGUUUGAUAAUAUUAAUCCAUCUUACCAACAUAUUAGAUUUUAUUUUUGAACAUAAAUAUUUUAUAAUUACGAAAAUAAAAUAUAUAAAUAUAUAAAUUUAAUACAAUUUUAUUAUAUUUAGCUCAAUAUAAUAAUUUUAAUUUAAUAUGAUUGAUUAUGAUUAUAUAAUAACUAAAAUAUUAUAGAUUUUUUUAUUUUUCAUUUUAUAUAACUGAAUAUAUUAAUGUAUAAUAAUAUUUUAAACUAAUUUUGAAAUUAGUGAAAAUAUUUAAAUAUAAUUUCAAAAAUGAAGAUCUUGUAAAAAUCUUUUUAAACAGAUUUGUUAUAAUUUUAAAAUAAAUAUAUUUAUAUUUAAAAUGAAAAGAUAUCAAAAGAUACUGUGAUUAAAAUAUUUCAAAAAUUAUAUUUAUUAUUAGUCUGAAUUAAAAUAUAGUAUGAAUUUGGGGUUUUUGCCAAAAUUAACCUACAACUUGAUUUUAAACCCAAACCUAUACCCAAACUUGAAUCAAAUGCAAAACUAACCUAAAAACCUAGUGAAAUUACAACUCAGCCCCUUGUGACCAAACAAAAAAACAGAAGCCAUUUUUACGAAUAUAGCCCCAGUAAAUCGUCUGAGUCGUCUGAAUUGUUGGAAGUCGUCUGGACGACUGAAGUUUAAGUCGUCUGGUACCAGUUUAUUUUAAAAAUAAUUUUUAAAUCUUGUAAAAAAAUAUUUUGAUGCGUGAAAAAUAAAAAUCAGAUGAUUAUAAACAGUUUUAAGUGAUAUAAAUUAAGAUAUGAUAAAAUUGAUUUGUUUUGAAGAUAGAUGAGUGGAAGUAGUGAAUCAUGAUAUUCUUUGGUUUAUGAGUUUGGCAAACAUAUGUUGUAGUAUUGUAUGUAUUGUUAGGGUUAGAUCUUGGAAAACUAAAAUGUUUUUUUCAAAAAUUAGUUUUCAUCUAUAUGUGUUUCUUUAUGUGUAUAGUAAACACUUUUCAACUUUGAUUUGAUUUUAUGAAGUGUUUAAUUAGGGGUUAUGUUUAGGGUGUGGACGACUUAUAUUUCAGUCGUCUGUUGAAUAAUUUACACGGACGACGUAUAUUUCAGUCGUCCACAUCGUACCGAACCUUUAAUUUUACCAAUGUACGUUUUAACCUAACCGGAUCAUUUACCGGACAUAUAAAAGCUAUUUUUUCACUAUUUCACAACUUUUCGAAACCCUAGCGCAGUUUCUCUCCAACGGCGAUUUCGAAGGCGAUAAGACGAAAACCCUACCGUGGUCGUGUUCCGCCGUUAUCUUCGCCGGUAAUCUCUCCGAUUACGACGAAUCUCGUUUCUCCUUCAUGCCGUAGAGUAUUUUCGUAGUUUAAACUGACCGUCCGCUUCCUUUUUUUCAGAUCUGAAAUCUCGUUUGCCAAACUCCGCCGCCGGUAUGUUAUUUCUCAUGUAUUAAGGCGUUUAGCCGCCGGAAAACCCUAAAUAUUUUAGUAUUGAUUCUUCUUUUCCCUUCGAUUUGCAGAUCUGUAACGGCUUGGGACCACAUCUUCUCCGACCAUAUCUUCUCGGACAAUAUAUUCUCCAACUGUAAGUCAUUCGUCUUUUGUUUAAAAGAUUUUGAGAUUGUUGUAGUCUUUUGCUGAAAGAUUACUCAGACGACUUCCAGGAAGUGAGAAGACUACUUGGACGACUUCCAUGAAGUCUUCUACGAUGUCUUACUCUCUGGACGACUUACAUGUAAGUCGUCUAGAGAGUAAGACAUCGUAGAAGACUUCAUGGAAGUCGUCCAAGUAGUCUUCUCACUUCCUGGAAGUCGUCUGAGUAGUCUUCUCACUUCAUGGAAGCCGUCUGCAAGUCUUCUAUAGCAUUUAGCAUAGUGCGCAACCUAUGUGUUUGAGAUGGUUGUUUGUGAUUAUUUGCAGGCCUUAAAAUGGAUUUACGAGAACUCCCGCCGAGGAUGUUUACAUUAGGAGAAGAGCCCGAUGCAAUCAAGAGCAUUUCGUAUCAAUCUGAUGACACAAAGUUGUUUAAAGCUCUAUGUGAUUGUCUCACACCUGACGAAUUUGAGGAUCUGAAGGCGUCGAAGUUAGGAGUGUUCAUCAAAUUCAAGGAGCUUGACUUUGGUUGGACUUCAAGGCUGGUACAUUUUUUGCUCUGUUUCCAGCUAGACAUCAAGAAGAAGUUUGAGCUCUGGAGUCUUGUCGUUUCACAACCUGUGAGGUUUUCACUGAUAGAGUUUGAACACCUCACUGGGCUGAACUGCGAUUACAUCAAGGACCUGGAAAAUCCAAGAUGUGAGGUUACAACGGAGAUGGCUGCUUUCUGGGAGAAGAUGCAUGUUGAUAUCGAUACUGGGCCAAGUAUUGAACAGAUAACAGAAGCAUUUUACAACUGCGACGAGUGGUCUCGGGAUGAUCGCAUGCGGCUGGGAUACCUUGCCAUCUACGCAGGAUAUAUCGAAGGGAAAAAGUUCUCAUCCGCUACAUCAGCUAGUCUUGCAAGGCUAGUGAUGGAUUUAGAAAAAAUUGAGAAUUAUCCAUGGGGGAGAGUGGCGUUUAAGGUGCUGAUGGAUUCUCUGAAGGCAAACGACUUGACGCAAACUGGUUACACUGUUGAUGGGUUCAUACAAGUGCUCCAAGUGUUGGCGUACUAUGCUAUGCCAGAAUUGGGUGCUAAUUAUGGGUCUCCCAUACCAAACAGACCGUCUCCACUGUUGCUGGCUUACAAGGGUGGCAAAAGACAACGCAAAUGUUUUAAGGCUGCUAUCAAUAAACAGGUACUUAACUUCACUCCUAAGACUUCUCAGACGACUUAAAGUUAAGUCGUGUGGAAGUCUUCCAACAAAAGACCACGCAGACGACUUACUUUUAAGUCGUCUGAGUGGUCUUUUUGUUGGAAGACUUUCAGACGACUUAACUUUAAGUCGUCUGUGAACAAAAUACUUCUCAGACGACUUAACUUUAAGUAGUCUGUGAACAAAAUACUUCUCAGACGACUUAACUUUAAGUAGUCUGAGAACAAAAUACUUCUCAGACGACUUAACUAAGUUUAUAUCUUUUAUUUAUUGCAGACUAUCGUGAAGAACUUCGUUCAGAAGGAUUUUGAUGAAAUGUUUCCAAAAUGGGACGGAGACAUAGAUGACCCUGCCGCGGAUAACAUAAUUAAAGUCAUGUUUAAUGAUCCUGGAUGGGAGUGGACCAUGGAAUGCUGGCCAGUCACCGGUACUCGCAAGGUUGUGAAGAUGGAAGUGAUUCCAGUGAAGAAUGAAGUGAGUCCCGUGAAGUCAGAGAGUGUUGUGAAGGAAGAAAGUAGCAGACCUCGGAAGAAAGCUCGUAAAGGGUCUUCUGUUUCUGCUGAGACACCUGCGGCGGGUAGUGAAGGGAUGACGCAUCAGCAGAUUGAAAAGUCCUUGAAGGACAUAUCUGAUACCAUUAAUCUUGGCUUUGGGACGUGCCUUAAGGAGCUCAAGUUACUGGCGGAUAGGAUGGUAGCUGUGGAGAAGAAGGUGGGAAUCACCAACAGAGGGGGUUUAUCUGAUGAUCGUCAACUUACAACCACUUCAAAUCCACCAAAACUUGUUGACGAACCCGGGGUUAGUACCAAAACCUCUCCCAAAAUUGCAGAGAAGAGAGUCACUAGGCAAAGUGUUAGGAAGAGUCAGGACUGAUGUGAUUUGUUUCUUGUGUGCUUUGAUGAACAUGUGUGCUUUGUUUCUAGUGUGCUUUGAUGAACCACUGUAUGCCUUGAUUCUGAACAUGUGUGCUUUGUUUCUAGUGUGAAUUUGAUCUUUGCUGUAAGGGCUUUUGUUAAUAGUUUUUAAACACACUGUGAACUCGAAAUUGCAGAGUGAAAGCGUGAAUGGGGCGAAAGCAGGACAGAAGGAAGCCAAAGAACCGAGUUCCUCGAGAGAGCUCUGUCUUGUGAGUCCUGCAGACGACUUACCGAGUGAUGAUCCUAGCCUUCUUAUAUUGGACAAACAAGUUUCGACCGCUUCAGAUUUACUCGUUGAAGAAGCUAGAAGGCAGACAAAGAAGGAGACUGCUUUGGUGAAUCUCCGUAAAAAAAGUGUGCGAGAAAGGAAGCUUGCUCCCACACAGCAAACUCCUUUUAAGGGAAACAGCACUGCCAAACAGAUCAUUCCAAACAAACAGGUUGGCGGAGGCUAUGAUCCUUUUGCACCCAUUGACAAGAUGAAGUCGAAGGAGCUCACUGCAUGGGUGCAAAAAGAUCCGUAAGUUGCUGUUAAAAAUAUGCUUACUUAUAUUUGAUUAAAAAAAGCUUCUAUUUGAUUAUUUACAUUUUGUGUUUGCAGUUCUUAUAAACUGCCUCUGAAAAAAAAACCACGUAGAUGUCGAAGUCGAUUCUAUCAGGUCCUCCGAACCCCCUUAGAAUGGCUAACCGACCAUGUAAGUCUUCUGCUAUUUUCUAACUCUUAUAUAAGUCGUCUGGUAGUUAUCUGGUACUUUUCUGAUUUGUAUAAGUCGUAUGUGAGUCGUCUGUGAGUCGUCUAUAAGUCGUCUGGUAGUUAUCUUAUGUAAGUCGUCUGUAAGUCGUCUGUAAGUCGUCUCUAAGUCGUCUCUAAGUCGUCUGUAAGUCGUCUGGUAGUUAUCUUACGUAAGUCGUCUGUAAGUCGUCUCUAAGUCUUCUCUAAGUCGUCUCUAAGUCGUCUGUAAGUCGUCUGGUAGUUAUCUUACGUAAGUCGUUUGUAAGUCGUCUGUAAGUCUUCUCUAAGUCGUCUCUAAGUCGUCUCUAAGUCGUCUGUAAGUCGUCUGGUAGUUAUCUUACGUAAGUCGUCUGUAAGUCGUCUCUAAGUCUUCUCUAAGUCGUCUCUAAGUCGUCUGUAAGUCGUCUGUAAGUCGUCUGUAAGUUUUUUUGACUUGUAUUGUUUUAUAUGCAGCAAAUGGAUGCUUUUAUUAAUAUACUGAGGCAACGGUACCAAAACCAUCCAGAACAUUUCAGGAGCGACAGAAUGUGCUUUCUUGAUCAUGUCUUUUCUCGGCAGUGGAGGGCCUCCUACCCUGAUUUUAAGAGCGACGCUCCUGAUGCCAACGGUUUAGGAAGAAGACUCCCUGGUGGGGCGUGGAAUUAUCAUGCAGGCGUGAUACCUUCUUUUUGCCAAUCUAAGAAGGUUUGGGGGGGUGGAUGUGGAUGAUAUCUAUGCACCUGUGAACUUCAAGAACCAGCAUUGGAUUGCUAUAUGGAUAUCGAUCCCUAAGAGGCACAUCGUCGUCUGGGACAGCAUUGUCUCUCAUAUUAGCCCUGAAGAACUCGAUGAGGUAAUGGAGCCUUUUCUCACAAUGGUCCCUUAUCUGCUUGUUGAGUGCGCGCUCUCUGACGAACAAAAGGUUCAAUACACAUUGGAGCCAUACACAUAUGCGAGACAAACCGUUGGAGUACCUCAGUGCCGAGCUGGUGAUUGUGGCCCUUUCACUCUGAAGUACAUCGAAUGUCAUGCUCUUGGGAUAGAAUUUCCCACCGCGUUUGACAAAAAACACGGGAAGACCAUCAGGGAGAAGAUGGCGCUGGAUAUAUUUCGAGAGCUUUCUAUGUGCCAUGAAUGGGAAAACCAAGACAAUGAUGAGAACCUGGCAACGUAUGAUUAGAUAUUGGAUGUGUUAUUGUGUGCUGUUGCGAUUGUAUUUGAACUUGAUGCUUUUGUGUACUGUUGUUAGGUAGAUUAGGGGAUGUUAACAGGGUCAGGAUAGGAUGAUGUUUUUUUGUAACCUAUCCUCACACCAAACUAGAAUUCCGUAGGAAAUUAGUUUGGUAGUGCAGUAACCUUUCGGAAUAUGUAAUGUUUAACUUGUCUUUUUUAAAUUGCACUGUUGGAAUUAGUUUCGGAAUAUGUACUGCUUAACAUAGAAGGUCUACAAAGAAAAGUUCAUAAAACAUAUAAAUUCAUAACAUAGAGUCUACAGAGAAGUUCAUAAAACAUAGAAAAUCAUUGUGGACGACUACAGAGAAGUUCAUAAAACAUAGAAAAUCAUUGGACGACUUACUUAAAGGUCUUCUGGACGACUACAGAGAAGUUCAUAAAACAUAGAAAAUCAUUGGACGACUUACUUAAAGGUCUUCUGGACGACUAACCAGAAGAAAAUUCUAAUUAAGACGUUGGACGACUAACUUAAAGGUCUUCUGAACGACUAACCAGAAGAAAAUUCUAAUUAAGACGUUGGACGACUAACCAGAAGGUCUUCUGGACGACUUACCAGAAGAAAAUUCUAGUUAAGUGAUAUUACGUGUAUACGCACACCAAAUAACCUAAUGUGCACACUACCACAAUCGAAUGGUAUGUCGAUGUAGCACUUUAGGAUCGAAUCCACAGAGACCAACUAUUACACUUUAUCUUUAUGGGAUCAAUAUCAAGCUAAAACAAUAUGGGGGUUUUAAAGUUGAUUUCGUAACAAGCAAGUAAAAAGAUUAAUUAAAGAUUUCAGAUGAUUAAAAUGCUAGCCUAGGGUGGUUUGGUCGGGUGUUAAACAAGUGUGAGCCAAACAAUUAUUCAAGUUUAAUUAAGAGCAAGUCUAGAACUCGGAUCACUCAAGUAGAACAGCCCACUGUCGUGGAACUGCCCCCUAUGCUGAUCGAUCUUGAUACCUAAACUCUCGUUUGGAUCAAGAUGCGACAGCAAGCAAUAGAGAUCAAGUCCGAUAGGUUCACCAAACACCCUAAUAUCUACUUUCGCUGAUUAGGGAUGCUAGGCUCAUUCAUAACAGAUCUAGCAACCUAUUACACGGUUAAUGAACAGGUUAAACCUAGGAUCUAACAUUAAGCGGCCAGAUUAAUGCAAGCAUUAAGAACAGUUAUGAAUGAAGACAAUCAAUGGUUUCACUUAUCUAUGUUUAACUCACGGAUCUAACACCCGAACACCCUAGACUAAGCAAGUUGACUACUCAGCCAUGAACAGAGAAAACACAGAGAUCAAUUCUGAAUAAGACUUCAUGUAAAUAAAAGAGAUAGAAAGAGGGUUCAGGAUAAUCUUCUCUAUGGUGAGAGAGAUGGAGCCUUCUCCCUUUACAAUCCAAAAGCACAAAAGUCUCCAAUGGUUUUCUUCUGUCUAGAAUAGCGUAGAAUGAUAAAGAGAAACAGAAAAUAUGAUAUAUCAAAGCCACAGGCGGCUGGGAGAGAAAAUAUGGAUAAUUAGGGCAAAUCCCGUAAUGAUUGUAGUUUCCUAAAAAAUCUCUGCCGCUGGAACACUCACUCGGAACAGUCAUCAAGACUGUUCUGCGUGAAAACCACCAAAUUGCAUUGUUUUCUGCCUCUUUUGUUCCAGCUGAUCCAUCUCCCAUCCAAUGCAACUCCAGACCUGUAAUGACUCCAAAAGGACUAGGAAGACUCGAUAAAGACUUGAAAACCAAUUUAAAAGCAUAUAUACAAGAUGUAUAAAACACCAUAUAUCAAUUCCCCCAGACUUAGAUCCUUGUUUGUCCUCAAACAAUGUCAAGUAUCAAGAACAGGGAGAAAGGUUUGAAAGUGUGGGAACUCUCCUAUUCUCAGCAACCAUACUUUAACCACGAAUCUCUGAACCAUACAAGCAGUAAAACUAGGACAACACACCCUUACCGGAACCCCACUGACUGCUGUUCAAAAAUCGGCUCCAUACUCUUCAUCUCAAACCUGAAAAAGCAACACUAUCGAGACAGAACUCCCUACAUUCAUUUAAGAGUAGCGUGAGCUUCUCAUCACAGGCAUCAUUCAGGGUAGACGGUCUAGGUGUGGAACAGGCUAUUUAAUGGUGGAGUUAAGAGUGUUUAGGGGCUACCAUUUCAUUGAAGAGGAUGCAGGAUAUCACACAAAAUGGCAAGAGAGGAUAGAUCCAUUGAUGUCCACAGCCUCUACUCGUUUUUGCUCUAUCUGGUGCGACUGUUCUGAUGACGGAACAGGCAACUGAUUGUUCUGCUUUCCACUUUCCUCUACACACUCUUCAAUACUUGGUACCAACUUCUUGCUCGACCUUUCCAGUGGCUCCAUGUUUCUUUUCUUUCUUCCCCUUCUCCAUCACAUUAAUCUCGUUUUUUUUUUUUUUUUUUUUUUUUUGAAGACUGAUAUGGUGAUGUGACGAAGAAGGAGGUAACACAUGAUCGUUCUGAGUGCCACUGGUGGUUCUGAUUUCGCGACCAUUCUGGUUCUCCACCCCUGCUCUUGCGCAGUUCAUUGGUUAUGGAGCGGUUGCUCCCUUAAUCUGCUUGUUCUCCUUUCUGACAUAAUUUCUGCAGCAGUAACGAGUAGGAGGCUGCGUUGAUCCUUUCCUCUCCGACCUUUUUGCACAUAUCUGCACAUAUGACACUGAAAAACAAAUGCAUGAAGGUGGAAUAAAGGCUAAGGUGCAGGGUGGGAACUAGCUAAAGAUGAGCUAGCCACUCAGGAUCAGCAAGAUGGAUAAAAAGGAUAAGAAGUCCUGAGUGUGUUCUCGUUUCCCUGAUCUAAUGCCCAUAACAAGAAGAAUUUCAGUCAAGAUUAGGUUCAAGUAAGGUGGAGUUAAGUCUACCCAGUGUAACCUGAUCGGCUGAGAACUUCUGGAGAAUCAAGUGAGAUAUGUCAGGGUGUUCCAGGUCCACAUGUGUGUCUUUCGCCACUGCUAAGGUCACUGAAUAAGAUAACUAAAGCACGAGGUGGUUAGUGAUCAACACGGAAUAAGGUCCUAAUUCCCACAAAAUUUUGACUGACUCAAUAAAAACUGACUCGAAUUGACCCAAAAGAAAAACAAAAGAAAGAAACGAGUUAGUAAACGACGAAAACCCUCCCCCAGACUUACUUCACAACGUCCCUGGUGUGAAAAUAAAUCAGAGAGAAGGUGAAAUCAAGAAUAAACAUUUUUUUUUUUGUUCGAGAUACUUACCUGGCGCGGAGCAGCCUGACAGAGCAAGACGCGGUUGCUCCGGUAAAGGAUGCUAUGGAAUGAGAACAGCCAGCUGCUUGCUCCAGUCAAGGGUCUCGGAUUUUCUGAUUUGUGACCUGAGACUCAACAAACUAAAAACAAAAAUAAGUAAAAAGAAAAUCCUAAUGUUAAUGACACUCACCAGUGGGUUGCCUCCCACCAAGCGCUUGGUUUAAGUCUCUAGCUUGACUUGGUGACUGGGAUCAGUCGGGUUGAGCAGGAGGGCUUGUUCCAAAACAAGCUCCACAAUCAGACAUGUUCAGCUUCAAAACUCUGCUCAACAACCCUUUCACAGCAGCUUUCCCUUUCUCCUUCAGCUCAUGUGUGAGAAUAGCUCUGACUUUAGAGAAAGGUUUAGAGGUACCCUUGCACUUUACCUCAUACUCAAUGGAGUUCUCAUCACACUUGAGAGGUAUCAAAGUCAUUGUAGGAUCUCCCUUGAUCCUUUUCUUCUGGACUUUCUGUUUCACCCUUGAAUUCCCUCUGAAUUUAGUAGGAUCAGUGCUAGGAUCUUCAUCAGAGAACAGCCUGCUCUCACCCUUAUCACCAUGCUCCUUCUCUGGAACAACCUUCAGCUUUUCUACAUCAAACACUGAGAUGCGAGAGGCGUGUGAUGAGGAAGAUCUGGUGGGUACAGCCUUGUAGAAAACUUUCUUGUUGAUGUUGGAGAAGCAGACUCUCUUGUUGGGCAUAUCGAUGGUUGCUCCAACAGUAGCCAUGAAUGUCCUUCCAAAUAUCAAAGGCAUCUCAUGAUCCUUGUUCAUCUCAACAACUUGAAACUCAGCAGGAACAAUGCAUUCCCCUACUUGAACAUGAAGGCUGCGGAUGGUUCCAUAUGGGACUGCUCUGGAAGAGUUUGCAAAGGUCAGGGUCAGCUGAGAACGCUCAACAUCAGCAAUACCCAAAUCGUCUACAAUAGCCUUUGAGACGAGAUUCACACAAGAACCAGAGUCACACAGAGCAUCCUUGAAGGUUGUUCCUGCGAUGGAGCAUGGGAAAACAAACUUUCCAGGAUCAUCAACCUUAGGCAAUACCUUCAAUGCUGGUGUAGACAGUGCUUUGAUAUAGAGGACCUUGAUCUCCUCUUGAGUCUCUCUACAGUGUUUAAAGAACUGGAGCAAUGGACGAAUCUGCAGAGCAUCUUCGAAUGCAAGUUCUUUAGGAAGCCUUCUCACCAUCUUGUUAAAACCUAUCAGCUGCUCUUCACUAAUGGGAUCCAUCAGAUGUCUAGGUGGAAUUGGAUAGGGAACCUUGGGAACAUAGACUCGAGAUGGUGGAGUCUCAGCAGGUUCGCUAGGAGCAGUCACUCCAGAGCUAGCAGACUGCUCUGCUCUCUCUUCUGCGCCUGAAGCAGUCUCAGCAAACGGCUGCUCUAUUGCAUUACAGUGCUCAGUCCUAGGAUUUUUAUCAGUUCUUCCAGGAAGCGUCUCUUGUUGCCUCUUGACACUCUCAACUGUUUGAGCAAGCUGAACAUCGAUCUUUCUUAUAUGGAUCGCAAGAUUGUCAUACUUGUUAUUCAGCUCAGUGAACAUGUUGCCCAUCCUGGUGUCUAUUUCCGUGGUUACCUGAUUCAACGCCUUGGCCUGAACCUGCUGACCCUGCAACAGCUGUUGCAUCAUCAUACCCAGACCCUUCAGCUCAUCUGGUUGACUGUUCCCGGUAGCUGGAACAGCAUGCGGAUUGCUCUGCGGUUGUCGCUGGUUCUGGUUCUGAAUAUGCCCGGCCGUAGGUUGUUCCAUGCUGAAAACGUGCCCUUGGUUGUUUUUCAGUAGCUGAUCAACCUUGGCAGUCAGCUCAUCUAUUUUCUGGGCGUCAGAACUGUUUCCUUUCUUGGAGCAAUCACUCUCCUCUUUCUUAUUAGCUGAGCUAGCAGCCAUGUUCUCAAUCAGCUUAAACGCUCCAGCUGUGGUUUGAGUCAUGAAAUCUCCAUUGCUCGCAGAGUUUAGAGCACCUUGGUAUUUCCAGUCCACUCCAUCAUAGAAAAUGUCCAGGAUAUAAUCAUCAUCAAAUCCAUGGUGAGGACAUUCUCUGCGAUAGUCAUUGAAGCGCUCCCAUGCGUCGCAGAAAGCUCAUCAGUGAGCUGUCUGAAGGAGGUGAUCUUGUUCCUCAAUGCAGCUGUUCUCGCCUUAGAGUAGAAAUGGCUGAGGAACGCUGAUCGGACCUGUUCCCAUGAAGUGAGAGAGCCGGUAGGGAGAGAGUUCAACCACCGUGCAGCUUUUCCAUCAAGAGAGAAUGGGAAUAACAUGCACGUGAUGUAGUCUGGUGGAACACCAUUCACGCGAGUGAAACUGCAGACUUUUUCGAAGCUCUCAAUAUGCUCCAUUGGAAUUUCUGUAGAGAGACCAGAGAACACCUUUCUCUGUACUAGACCAAUCAAAGCAGGCUUGAUCUCGAAGUCCUGCCUGGUGCAAGGUGGAGGAACAAUGGCAGAGCGCGUAGUAGGGAUGUUACGCGGAAGGUUUCUCUGCCCGAUUGGAACAGUCUGCGCCUGUUGUUCCUGCUGCGCGAGAGCAGCCUGUUCAGCAGCAUCCUGCUGAGCUUGGAUGGUCUGCUGCAUUUGUUGCAUCUGCUGCUGCAUGUGCAACUGAGCAGCGAGAUCUCCUGAUUGGCGUGAUCACCCAUAGUGGUGUCAGUUUGCCUUGGCUGUUGACGAUUUGUUCUUUCUAACCUUGCUAGCUCCUGGUUGGUAAAUGUAACUAACUCUCCUUGUGCGUUUCUCCGAGUAUGUCUACUGGUCAUGCACCUGGAACAUUAGCUGCAACAAAAAGGAUAAGGCAAGUUAGAGGUCUUAGACUAAAUAAAUAACCGAAAAAUAAAGGUAAAAAGAUGGUCCCCGGCAACGGCGCCAAUUUGAUAUUACGUGUAUACGCACACCAAAUAACCUAAUGUGCACACUACCACAAUCGAAUGGUAUGUCGAUGUAGCACUUUAGGAUCGAAUCCACAGAGACCAACUAUUACACUUUAUCUUUAUGGGAUCAAUAUCAAGCUAAAACAAUAUGGGGGUUUUAAAGUUGAUUUCGUAACAAGCAAGUAAAAAGAUUAAUUAAAGAUUUCAGAUGAUUAAAAUGCUAGCCUAGGGUGGUUUGGUCGGGUGUUAAACAAGUGUGAGCCAAACAAUUAUUCAAGUUUAAUUAAGAGCAAGUCUAGAACUCGGAUCACUCAAGUAGAACAGCCCACUGUCGUGGUACUGCUCCCUAUGCUGAUCGAUCUUGAUACCUAAACUCUCGUUUGGAUCAAGAUGCGACAGCAAGCAAUAGAGAUCAAGUCCGAUAGGUUCACCAAACACCCUAAUAUCUACUUUCGCUGAUUAGGGAUGCUAGGCUCAUUCAUAACAGAUCUAGCAACCUAUUACACGGUUAAUGAACAGGUUAAACCUAGGAUCUAACAUUAAGCGGCCAGAUUAAUGCAAGCAUUAAGAACAGUUAUGAAUGAAGACAAUCAAUGGUUUCACUUAUCUAUGUUUAACUCACGGAUCUAACACCCGAACACCCUAGACUAAACAAGUUGACUACUCAGCCAUGAACAGAGAAAACACAGAGAUCAAUUCUGAAUAAGACUUCAUGUAAAUAAAAGAGAUAGAAAGAGGGUUCAGGAUAAUCUUCUCUAUGGUGAGAGAGAUGGAGCUUUCUCCCUUUACAAUCCAAAAGCACAAAAGUCUCCAAUGGUUUUCUUCUGUCUAGAAUAGCGUAGUAUGAUAAAGAGAAACAGAAAAUAUGAUAUAUCAAAGCCACAGGCGGCUGGGAGAGAAAAUAUGGAUAACUAGGGCAAAUCCCGUAAUGAUUGUAGUUUCCUAAAAAAUCUCUGCCGCUGGAACACUCACUCGGAACAGUCAUCAAGACUGUUCUGCGUGAAAACCACCAAAUUGCAUUGUUUUCUGCCUCUUUUGUUCCAGCUGAUCCAUCUCCCAUCAAAUGCAACUCCAGACCUGUAAUGACUCCAAAAGGACUAGGAAGACUCGAUAAAGACUUGAAAACUAAUUUAAAAGCAUAUAUACAAGAUGUAUAAAACACCAUAUAUCAUUAAGACGUUGGACGACUUACUUAAAGGUCUUCUGGACGACUUACUUAAAGGUCUUCCACGUCAGUUCUUACAUUGUGGACGCUUAUGGCCAGUUUCUUUGCAGACUGAGCACCUAUAAACCAUGUGUUGCUUCCGGGGUUUGCGUCCUCUCAUCCUGGAUAGCUCCAACCAAGAUUGCCAUCUUGAUUUCUUCUGUCUCCCCGGACCACGCUUUACUUCCGGAGGAAAGGAUGUGCUUGCCUCAACAAGUUGUCCAACACAAGGAUAUAUAUUCUCUGAGUAUCCUGCAAACAAAGUAUCCUUUGAGUAGACCGGCCACACAAGUGUGGAGAUAUGCACACCAGCUGCUGUUCCAGCUGCUAUAGCAUGAGAGCAAGGUAUUUUCUCGACUUGAUAGACACCACAAUCGCACUUUUGAAGUUCCAGAUCAACAUUACAGUCCCUAUUGCCACCUUUCACAAAGAACUUCCAUCCAUCAAUUUGUUGGACUCUCAGAGUAUACGCGUUCUCCUCUCGGACAGCAAGCAAGUGUUCAACACCCCGACUAUGUUGAGUUGUAAGACUCAAAGCAUCUCCUCUCCUUUUCCAGUACCACCUUCCUAGCUUCUCCCUUAUGAACUCCAGCAGGAACUGAAUAGGAAAUCCUCUUGCUCGCUUCAGUGCGGAGUUAAUUGAUUCAGCGAUAUUGCUCGUUUUUAAGUUGUACCUGUCUCCCUAACAAUGAACCCUAGACCAUAGGGUCACAUCGGCUUCCUCCAGAUACUCAGCAAGAUCCGGAUUUGCACUUCGUAUCUCAUCCAUGUACCGAUCAAAAUCGUAAAGUGUAUGAGCAUAAGCAGCACCUUUCACUAAGUACAAGAGAUGCUUCCCUUUAUACUUUUUGACAAUAUUCUCUUGAAGGUGAUAAUAACAUAUUCCUCGGGUUGCCCAAGGAAACACCUUUUCACACGCAUUUAUAAUGGAGGCGUGCCUGUCGGAGACUAUCACCAGAGGAUACUCAUCAGAUACACAGCUCGCCAAUUUUGUGAAAAACCAUUCCCAAGAUUCAUCAUUCUCACCAUCUACGAUCCCAAAAGCCAAUGGAUAUAUCUGAAAAUUACCGUCUUGUGCGGCUGCAACCAACAUAGUACCCCCAUACUUCCCACUUAGGUGAGUCCCAUCUACCACAAUGACCCUUCUCUGAUACUUAAAUCUUCUGAUUGAAGCUCCAAAAGCAAGAAAUAGAUACUUAAAUCUAUUCAGAGAAUCAAGUUCUAUAGCUGUGAUAGAACCCGGAUUUGCUGCCUCGAUUUGCUCCAAAUAUGAAGGCAAUCGCUCAUACCCGUCUUCCGCUGAUCCUCUCACCAUUUCUUGCGCAUAUAACAAUGCUCUGUAUGAAGUGGUGUAAUCAAGUGUCAUGCCAAACAUGUUCUUCAUUGCAUCUUUGAUAUGCUGCGGAUUCAACCCAUCAAUGAUUCUAACUCGAUCUAUGAAAAGUCGACCAAUGUACUUCGGAGUACAACGUUUCCGCUGAGCGAUUCUGUCUGGGAUGGAACAUGUAUGAGUUGCCAAAUACUUGGUUACCCAAAACGUUUUAGUCCCAUGUUUCACACUUGCUCGGACCUUCCAUUGACAACCACUAACACGACAUGUUGCCACAAACAGAGUUUUCGUUGACUUGAAUAUUCUGAAGGAGAACCUACGCCUCACCGCUGUCGACCGCAACUCUGAAAGCAGUGCAUCCUUACUAGCAAAACUCUGGUUGACAUAGAUUCUGUCUGCAGAUGAUCCUUCUCCUUCACAACCAUAUGCCCCUUUGUAAUCAUCAAAACAGAUUUCAUCAUCUUCUUCCUCAUCCUCAUCUUUAACAUUUCCAUACUCACUAUAAUCCUCAGCAUCAGCGACAACAGGGAUGUCAGCAUCCUCCUCCCCAUCAUGAUCCUCAGCUUCAUCCCCCUCUUCAGCUUCAUGCCCCUCCUCAGCUUCUUCCCCCUCCUCAGCUUCAUCCCCCUCUUCAUCUUCAUCGCUUACAUCAGCUUCAUCCCUCUCCUCAGCUUCAUCCCCCUCCUCAGCUUCAUCCUCCACAUGAUCUUCAUCCCUUUCCUCUGAAACCGUUCUCAUCUUGCUAAAGCUUGAUACACAAAGACGUACUUCAUGCGUUUUAGUUAUCUCGAGCAAGUUCCGAACUUGUCUAUCACUUGUAACAUGAAUAGGAGGAAGGUCUGGAGCCAUCUGUUGUAAUGAGUAGAUUAGCUCCACAGACUCUGUGUUCAUGUCCAGGUUAUAAUCUUCUUGAGUCAUUGCAACAAGAUCAGCAUGUGUCGAACCUUCAUUCAAAAAUAACAUUCUCGCUCCUUUGAAAUGAUCAACCACAAAAUUCCAACAUCCAUCUUUCAACAACCAUUGUCCAUACACUGCAUGUAACUGACGCAUCAUCUGAAAAAGUCAAAAUAAAACACAUUAGCAAACUUAGAACAAAGAAAACAAAAGUUUAUUAAAGAUCGAAGCGGACGACUUCAAUCUAAGUUGUCUAGACUACUAAACUAUACGUCGUCUGGUCAACGCAGAGGUUAUUUUUGCAAUUGAAUUUGAAAUCUGGCUGUCGACGACUUACCUGGAAGUCGUCUGGCUGUAGACGACUUAACUUUCAGUCGUCUCAGGUUACAGAUUUCAAAGUCAAUUGCAAAAAUAACCUCUGCGUUGACCAGACGACUUCUAGGUAAGUCGUCUACAGCCAGACGACUUCCAGGUAAGUCGUCGACAGCCAGACGACUUCCCAAGUAAGUCGUCUGACGAACAGAUCUGGAAAAAAACUCGAUUUCAUACCUUAAAUUGGUGAGAUAAGUUCCUUAGCAUACAUAAGGCUUCUCCAAGCACACAGAAUCACAAACGAAAGUGACCCACCCUGAAUCGUUAGCUUCUAUGACUCUAUGAACCAUAAAAAUUUUAGAAUCAAAAUCUUGGGUUUUCUUAGCUCAUUGUGGAGAGAAAGUGAAAGAUAUGUUGUGUUUAGUUCACAAGAAUGAAAAAAGAAGAAGGGUAAAUCGAUUUUGGGAGCAUUAAGAGCUUCAAAUUGGUUGUUCAUGGUGGUUGUGGUAUUGAUGACAAUGGCAAUCUUGUAAUUACUUGAAGAUGAUGAGGGUGAGAGAGUAAAAAUGUCAUUUUCGAAAAGAAAAAAAAAAUUGAUGGCAUUUUCGUAAAUUAUAUGAACUUGUGGAGUGAAUACGGCAAAACUAAUUUCAAAAAAAAAGGGAGGUUAGUUUUGUGUUUGACUUUAAGUUGUAGGUCAAUUUUGCAAAAACCCCUAUGAAUUUCUAUGAAUAGGUCUAUUAGGUUCAUUUUUAAAAAAAUCACAAAUGAAUCAAGGUUGUGACUUCUGUUUUAAUAUAUAAGAUAUAGGAAAGUUGUUUCUUUAUUUAGUCGCUCUUUUUUUAUUGGAUAAUCGACUAAUCGUUUUCGCUAAUUAAAACAGCCUAUAGGCUUCUCAUUACGCUAUAUAUUUGAACAACAUUGUCGGCAUAUUAUAAUUCUAUUACGUCUAACCUAUUUUAAAAAAUGAUAUAGUACUAUACUAUAUAACAAAAUCUCAUCGUUAUUAUCAUUAUCGUACAUCCGUCGUUAUUCAUUCGUGCUAUAUAAUACGGCUAUCGCACCAAGCAGGCAACGUGAUAUGAAAUAUAUUAACAUUUUGGUUAGGAAUAACGUAACAGAAAAAUAUGUCGUCAGCUAUGUGACGAUUAAGUAAAGUGAGGCACUUAUUUACUAAUUUAAUGAAAGAAUAUACACAGUAGAUUAGGCCAAUUUCGUCAACUUGUUGGGAAAGUAGCCAACAAACCCAAUACAAAACUAAAUUCUACUAGUUAGUUUCUUGGUAAAACUCAACUAAUCGUAACUUUACGCUGUUUUAUUAUUUUUUCCUAAAUCAUGAUAAUAUCGAAUAUGAUUAAAUCAUUUAGUUAUUAAAAAUAUUAAAUCAUGUUAAUAAAGUAAGUAUAUUAGUAUACUAUAUAUAUAUUUUUUAUUUUAGUUAGGAAAGAAAUGCUAAGCCACAGAAUCUAAUAUGUUUCCUAAAUCAACGGUCAUGAUUGAUUAAGAAUAGUCUUCCUUUUGACCAAGUCUAAUCACUAAACCUAAAUAAAUAAACAACAAACGAAGGCAAAUGCUGUUUUGUUACUUAUUACAAUCUCACACAGCCUUGAGACACAACACAAAAUGGCUAACUCAAACGAUUGGUCUCACCUCUACAGCAACAACCAAGCCUUCUACACAACUUCCACCAUCACUUCAACCGCCGUCACAACCACCACAGCAGCUUCUCCCUCCGGUGAAGCCACCUCCAUGGACUCUCGUCUUAGUCCAGAAACAGGCCGUGUAACCAAACCGGCACGUAGAAGAUCAAGAGCCUCACGUAGAACACCAACAACACUUCUCAACACGGACACAUCAAACUUCCGCGCCAUGGUUCAGCAGUUCACGGGCGGUCCAUCCGCUAUGUCUUUCGGGUCAGGUAAUACCACUUCCGGUUUUAGCCUCACCUCUUCGUCGGAUCCAUCCGCCGGAUCUUCCCAACAAGUUCCUUGGCAAUAUAGUUACCAGCCUCACGCGCCGCCUCCACCGCAACAGCCUUAUAUGUUCUCGUUAAACAACAUGAAUCCCGUCGUUGGGUAUAGUAACAUGAACAACCCUAAUACGAUGGUUCCUGGUGGUUUUGGAACCGCGGGCGGUGGAGGAGGAGGUUCUGCUCCGUCGUAUAAGGAAGCCACGAAUAGUAAUACGUCGUCUUCGAGACUGCAAUGAGAAAACGAUUGGAUUCUUUUGAAAUAUUUUUUUCUCCUUUUUCGCAUAAAGGCAGAAAUGUUAGGUACUGACUUUCUUUUGUCAUAGAAUGACAACUUUGACUGUUGUAUAUUUAAGUUUUUCGUUUUCAUAUUCAAGCUUUUUAUCUUUGUUUUAGGCGUUGAGCAUUUGUUUACAGCGUUAUCACUUAUCAUGGUCCUAAAUAAGCAAAUAUUCAAUGACUGAAGUUGCACACUUGCUUGCAUUCAAAAGAAAAACUCCAGUUUGGCAGUAAGCAAAAUAAAAUAACGUCUCCAAAUAAAUCUAUAUGUUUUUACGAGAAUACAUUAUCUGUUAUACUCCCUCUGUUUCAAAAUACAUGAAGUUUUAAGAUUAUACACAACUAUUAAAAAACUUGUUUUUUAUUUUAAAAAUAUCAUUAAAAUAUAAAUUAAAAAUUAUUUAACCAAUCACAAAACAGACUACAAAAUAUCAUUAGCUACACAGUUUUUGAUAAAGUGAAAAAAUACAUUGAUAUAUGAAAACAUCAUCUAUUUUGAAACAUCAAAAACUACCUAAAACAUCAUCUAUUUUGAAACGGAUGGAGAAUAAAUUAUUAUGGCAUCCAUAUUUUCUACUAGACUUAGGUAAACUAAAGCAAUGUUCUCGAACACUAAUAUAUCACGUAUAUAUAUUAUAUAUAUUAACGCUCUAUAUAUGUUAAAAACAUACUUUCACGUAAAGUUCUGAACUACAUGUGAAAAAUUGAAAUUUCUUCAAUAUUAUUCAAAUUAAUAGUAGUAUAUAUGUAUAACGUGCAUGUAAUGGAGGAAAUGUGAGAGAAAUAGCUUACAUCCAAUUUCUGUAUUCAUUUAUUGUAGGCAUUCAAACAUGAAAAUUAGUUAGUGUGAAUGUAGUUUUAUCUGCUUUGCCAAAUUAGCUCGAUAAAAUGCAAAAUAUGAAUAUAACUUUAUAUAACUUAUUUUAUAAAAUGUGCAUGGAAUGGAGGAUGCCUACAAUAAAUGAAUACAGAAAUUGGAUGGAGAAUGCCUACAAUAUAUGAUCCACUUAAGCUACAUUCAUUUACUUACACCCCAACGAUUGUAUUCUUAUUCGAUAAAACUGUAACUGUAAGUGAAUGUUCUUUUACCAAAUUGUAGCGAUAAUAUAGAAUAUGAAUAUAAGUUAAAACUUUAUAGUUUGCUUCUUUUUAUGGCACAAUAUAUUUUCUAUUGUCAUAUAACUUGUAGACGGAAAACGAUGACUAUCCUUUUCCAGUUCACAAUUUGAUUACUUUUUUCUUUGUCUUCAAUCACUAACUUUAUAAGAUUGUUGAAAUAUAUUUGAAGGAGAAUUUUCGCCAAGACCAGAAUAAUCUUUUAACAUUAAAAUAUGGUGAUGAUUAAUUGGAUCAUAUAGAAAUUAAACUUGCUUUUCGUUGGAAACAGAGGAAGCUUUUGGGUGAAGGUAGGCUACCAACAUUAACACACCUAGAUUCUUACGUUAUCGUUUAUUUUUCCUCUUUUAAUUUCUUCCCGCUCAUAUUAAUUAUGAUUUAGACUGAAAGUGAGAUGGAUCUUUUGAUUUAGAUCGAUGUUUUUGUUAAUAUAGAGUUUGGCCAAUAUACCAAAGCCAAACUCUAUACUUAUAGAAUGUCUUUAGUUUUUUUUCUUAGUCUUUUGCAUUUUUAAUAGAUUUUAGAUUCUUAAGAUAAAUCCAUAAAUUAAUAAGAGAAUAUUUCUAUCAUGUUGUAGACGUGUUUAUAUUUGACAAAUAAAAUAAUAUAAAAGGAAUUAACAAUGAAGAAUCUUAUUAAAAAAAAAGUAACAUCGACGAAGUGACAAAAAAAUUGAGUGAUAAAGGGGUUGUGAAGAGGGGAUGUAUCUAAUACGCAUUGUGGGUCCCUUAACCUCAAGUGAAAUUUCCUUUUCUUAACUGAAUUUGAAUUCAUUCAUCAAUUAUUAUACUAUACAACUAGGCAAUAAUCCGCACCUUGCGCGAAAUAUGAUUAUUAGUUUCGUUAUUUUUUAAUAAAGAGACAUUAAUCUAUUUAAUUUGAAUAUCGGUUCGGUUUUAGGUUGAUUUUUGGUUUUUAAUCUCCUAAAAUAUAACUAUCAUUUUAAAUCAAUAUUUAUUUUGUUUGUUCGGUUAAAAUGUUUGAUGUUUUUGGUUUUUUUUUCAUGUGAUAAUUAAAAAUUACUAUUAUUUGUUUGUUUUCAUGUUAUGAAACUUAGAUAGUCGUGAUGUCGAAUCAAUGGUUUCAUAUUAUAGUUUCUAAAUAGAUAAUAGUUCAAAAAGAAAAGAAAAUUGUUAAGACAAAUCAUUUUACUACAAUUUGGUCGAUAGGGAAAGAAGCCUUAAGAAAAAGAAUAUUUUAACUUCAAAAAAAAUUUAGAUAUUUCAGUUGUGGUAAAUAUUUAGUUAUAAAGUGCUCACGUCAAUGUGUCCAUGUAUGUGUAUGUAAAGGUAUAUAAAGAUGGUUGUUAAAUAUAUAAAGAUAAUGUUAAUUAAUAUUAAAUGAUAUUUUUUCAAAAUAAUACAUGAAAAAUAAAAUUCUUAAAAUGAAUUUAUUUAAAAAUAAAAAUACUGUAAAAUUUAUAUAAACUAUAAUAUAUAACUUAUAUAUAAUUCUUUAAAUAUAUGUAUAUAUAUAUAUAUGCAUAUAACAGAUCAAAUUAGAUAUUCGUUCCUAUAAAUACUGAUAUUUGUGGUUUGCUCUUUUUUUUACUGAUAUUGCAUUUUAGUAUUUAAUUUGCUUCGUACAGUAACGAAUAUCCAGAUUUUUCGGUUCAAAUCAAAAUUUUAUGAAUAAUUGUCUAGCUGUAUUCGUAAACAGUAAAAAUAACGUAAAGAAGAACCAUGCAUGUGAGUUUUAUAUUAAAAAAAUGUAAAGUACAUAGUGUGAACAUAUUUAUGUAGUGUUUGGCUGAGAAACUCUGUACAUGUAAUAUGUGUCCAUUUUAGUGUGAACACAUUUAUUACAAUGCUUCUACACGUGACAUGUGUCCAGUUUAGUGUAAAUGCAUUUAUUACAAUGCUUCUCUUUUAAUAUAUAACGGAUUAUACAAAACAUCUUAUUACGAUCCUCAAUCUUAUACUUUGGUAGAUUUUGAUGUUAUUUAUGAUUAAAUUAGCCAUCUUCUUUCAUACAUACUUAAAUAAAUGCGAUAAUCAAUUCUUUUGAACAAGUAGAUAUAAAGGGUGAUUUUAAAACACAAGAGGAAGCAUUUUUUUUUUGUCAUCAAACAAACAAACUCAUAUUAACUAUGUGAACCAAACUGGUAGCUCUGCAUCCAUGUGAACGACGAAAGACGAUUGUUUUCUUGCACUCUGUACUAGAUUAUCCGUCUUUUGAUUCUCCGUUCGGGGUACAUGAAUGAUCUCUGAGCUGAAGAAACAUGUCUUCAGCAUCUUUAUAUCUUCUAGAUAAUUUUCAAACGCCAGCUAUUCUUUUGGUUCCGAAACCAUCUUCACCAAUUGAGAACAAUCCAUAGCAAAUGUGACAUAAUAUUGAUGUAAAUUUCUCAUACACUCCAUCACCCAUAUUAACGCUUCCAUCUCCGAAUGGAGAGGUGAAAGACUUGCCCGAAUAUUCCUUGCACCCAACAAACCAUCAAAUCCCUCAAGAAUAUUAUACCAACCCUCGUCUGAAUAAUACUCUUUAUCUUUCCAAAAACCAUCUAUAAAGCACCAAGGACCUGUCCUCCUCGGACAGUGCCUAACCUCAACUUGUUGUGAUGGCUGCUGAAUAUUCUUCACCUGAGCCUCAGCCCAAAGUUUGGAUUCGGUCUCCGCAAGAUUAAGUGUAUCUCGUGGGUCCAUAUCCAAAUUACUAAAAACUUUGUUAUUCCUACCUUUUCAAAUGUACCAUAAUAUCCAUACAAAAUGAUGAUCUUCCCUCUCCGGGAUAACCCUCCAGAAAAAAUGAUCCAAAUUUAUGAAGAUAGAACUAGUAGGGAAAAGAUCUAGGUUUGACAGUAUCUUUGACAACGCCCAAACUUGACGCAUAGGAGGACAUUAAAAAAAUACAUUAUUUAUUGAUUCCUCAUCAGCUCCACAUCGAGCACAACAUAUAUCUCCUUGAAUUCUUCUCGCUUGCAAAUUCUUUUUUCACAGCCAUACAUCCUGAUACCAUCUAUCAUAGAAAAUGAUUUAUUUUCGGAGGGUAUCUCAAUCUCACCUUCCAACAAAACGCUUUUAAAAUAUCCACUGUAGGACCAUAGACCUACGGUGGUUUUGCCUUAUCCGGAUAGACCCGUUCUAGCUGGUAUCUUGAUUUAACCGAGUAUUUCCUAUUAGUUGUGAAAUGUCAUCCAUCACUAUCCAUCAUCUGGUUUCUACUCAGGAGUAUAAUUUUAAUAAUUUUAGCAUUUUAGGAGUCCACCAGAGCCCAAAUUUUUUGCGUAUUCCAAGUUAGUAAAACUGGAUCAAUGAAAAAGUCUACAAUAGGUAGCAUUGAAUUGGAAUAAACUAUCUACUAUUCUUUCACCUAACAGUUUUUUGUAGUAAUAUAGUUUAGAAAUGUAUUUAAUUGUAUAUAAAUAUAAAUAUAAUUAUAAAUAUAUAUAUAUAUAUCUUAUGAGUUUAUUGAGUGGUAGAUUAGUGGUUGAGUUGUAGUUUUUCUAGAUGGUCAUGUAAAUUUCAAACUCCAUCCAUAUGGUAAUGUAAUGAUAUUACAAAGUAAAAACCAAAAUAAAAACUCUCACUCAGAAGUUCCAGAGCAGUUUGAUUUUUGAAGUCGCACAUUGUCGGAGGAAGCUUGAAUAGUGAUAGAUAAGACAACUCAACUAGAAACUUCGCGAGAUCCAUUUGAAUCACCUCAUUCGUACAUAAAUAAACACUCAUUUUAUUCAAAAAUUCAGAUAUAAGGUUUAAGUUUAACCAGUGUUUAAUUGUUUAUAAUCACCUUCUGGUAACUAUCUUAUUAAAAGGAAAAUUUCAUAAUUACCCAACUAAAUUUCGUUAAAUUUUUUUAUAUCCAAACUUUUAUACUACAUAGUUUAAUACUUCAACUAAUUAUUUUGCUCAGUUUAAUACGCUUGCUUUUAAAACUAUGUUCAUUUUAAUACACAAACUAUGCUAAUUUUAAUAAUAAGUUUUAAACAAAACUUUAAAAAUCUUUAAAUUUCAAAAACAAAAUUUAUUACCUAUUUUCUUUUUUAAAUAACAUAUGUUUGGAUAAUCUUAAUUUUUAUAAUAUUAGUUUUAGUGCUAAUUUCAAUUUUUUUUAUUUUCUGAAGUUUAAAAUAAUUUAUUUAUUUUAUUCAUGAUUAUGGUUUUCUAAAUUUUAAAAUACUAUCUCGUUAGUUUUAUUCCUAAAAAAUUAAAAUAAAGAUUUUUAAAAUUUUAUUUAAAACUUAUUAAUAUCUUUGAUUAAAAUUAAUAUAGUUUGGGUAUUAAAAUAACACAUUUUUAAAAGUAAAUGUAUUAAAAUGUGCAAAAUAAUUACUUGAAGUAUUAAACGGGUAUCAAACUGUGUUGGGUAUUUAACUAAGAUGAGUAAACUUUACAACAUUUUUUAUUUUAUUUUUGUCAUGAAAGUAUCAUUCAUUGAUUAGGUUGUACCAUUGUCAAUAUUUUCUUGUCAACGUACCAAUGUCAAUUUGUAAAGUUGAUCACAAACAGACUAGAAACCAUCUACAAGAAAUAAGGAUUCAACUUUUGUGAAGUAUUAUUGUCAAUUUGUGAAGUUGAUCACAAACAAAUUAUGAAUCAUCUGCAAUAAGAAAUAAGGAUUCAACUUCGGAAAUUGUGUCAAUUUAUGAAGUUGAAUCUUUAUUUCUUCUUUCAGAUGGUUCAUAGUCCAUUUGGGAUUAAUAAGUCAGUUUGUGCUUUGUAUAAACAACUCAAAUCUAGAGUAUUUCGUUCAGUUUUUGUAUCUACAACAGCGGGUGAUGACGAUGACAAUGGCGAUGGCGAUGAAAAUCCAGAUGGGGAUGGGAUUCUUCCUAUUGAUGGGAGGAAGAAUAGAGGAAGACAAUUUACUGAUGAUGUCAAGACAAACAGUUGAUCAAAGCCAAAGUUGUUAGCUGUGAGGUCUGGAGACAAAUGGAAGGUUGAUUGAUAUUGUAACCCGUAUGUUAUCAUCUCUCGGGGGAUCAGUUGCUCAUGUUUAUCAGUAUGAUCAUAUCGUUCCCUGGUGAUAGUUGAUUACAACUUUUAAAGACACACUAAAUUUAUGAUGAAACAAACAAAAUUAACUAAUUAAAUCAUUUAUAAAUGUUUAAAAAAAUAUUUAUAGAAGCUUAUAAACUAACUCCACCUCUUAAAUACUAAAACCUAAACAAUAAUCAUAAAUCUUGAAUCCAAAUAUUAGAGUAUUUUUGAUUGAUCAUAUUUUUUUUCUUUUUUUGAGCAAAGAUUGAGCAUAUAUAUUUUUAAAAUAGUAGCCAACUUAGAAUAUUUCAAGAAAUUUCGCUUAAAAGUAUCAUAUUGGUGUAAAUAUAAAGACUAUCUAAUUAUAUAUGUAAUUAUACUGCUGAUUUUAUUUUAUAUAUUUAAAUUAGGAACUAAAUGGAGUGAAAUGGAGGGUUGGUAUGUUAUCAUCUCUCACGAGGAUCAGAUGCUCAUGUUUAUUAGUAUGAUCAUUUCAUUCUCUGGUCAAAAUCACAUGACUCAAGCCUGGAGAAUUGUCAGGUACUCCAAUCAAUGGUGAAUACUUGGAAUGACGCUUUAUUACAGCUAUAAAUUUGGUUUGUUAAGCUUUUAAACUCAUAUUCUCUGUUUUGGAAGAUAAAUUGUCUAUUUGAAUUUUAGGGUCUGCUGUAGCGAUGAUUCACAAACUCUCAACAAUGGGAUCAUCACAAGAUAAUCAAGAACAGAUAAAGUCGUCUAAAGUAGAUAAUCUUCUUCUUGCAUAGCUUACAUAAUUCAUCAAAGUUAGCUUUUUUUUUGUUUGUUUGUCAAACGAAUUGUCUUGUAACCUCUUGUUAUUUGUGUCUUUGUCUAGUAGAUAUGUUUCUUACUUUGUGAUUACAAAUUAAACUCGAGAGUUUAGAUUUUUUGGUCUCUCGUUUGCCUUUAUUUUGAAGAAGUGUGAAACUUAUGAUGGUCCACAAAACUAGUCAAAUAACACAAGCUACUGAUUGGGGUUUCAUGUGGGACAAACCCAAGUUGAAACCCUCCAAAACUUUUGUACUAUUUUAACAUCUCUGUUUUUUUUUUUUACUUAUUUUUUGGUUAAAAUUGAGACUUUAGGCAUAUAAUAAGAAAACUUUCAGUAGAGUAUCUCAACUUAAAAUAAAUAAAAAUAUAUUAUUGUUCGAUUAUGAAUAUUUCAAAACGAGAAAAACUCAAUCGAAAAUAUCACAAAACGGUGAAAAGUUCAGUCCAAAAUAUCUCAAAUAAUAUAUUUUGACUAAUUUCUCAUCACUCUAAGAUAUCUAAUGAUAUUAGAUCAUUAUUUUAUUUACUUUUUAGAACUACUAAUUUAUUAUAAAAUUUUUGCUCUAGAUCCAUUUCCAUUUUAGUUUUUAUCAUGAUAACUCAAACAUUAAAAUAACUAAAAUAAGAACUUGCUAGAUACUCACAAGAUACUAUGAAAAAUAAUUUGCAUAACAUUAUUGGUCAAAUUUUUUUAAAAAAAUAUUGAAAUUCAAUAGUUUUAUAUAAGUAAACUUAAAAUAACUGAAAUAAAAACUUGCUACAUAAUCACAAAAUACUACGAAAAUAUUUGGCAUUAUAUUAUUAGUCAUUUUCUUAGAAGUAUCUUGAAAUUUAAUAGUCUUAUAGUAAAAACUAUAUAAAGUAAUGAUAUUGGAAUUACGAAAUUUUAUUAUUUUUAGAGUUAUUAAUUUACAAAAAAUAUUUUUAUAUUUUAAAAUAUAUUUUUAAUAAAAUAAGAUAAAUUGUUUAUUUUGUCGUGUAUAUGUUAAUUAAAUUAUUAAAAUUAGACUUUUAUUAUUUUUGUUAUACUAUUUGGUGUAUACAAAAUAUGUUUCAUAGAAUUUAAAUGUAGUUUUUAGAUAUAAUUUGACCUAAUAUUUUCAAAAUAUAUUGAUGUGUUAAGAAAAAUAAAGUUCAAUUUCAUUGUGAAUGUAAAAUAAAUAAUACAAUGAUUUUUUUGUACAUAUAUAAACAUUGUAUGUAUGAAUUAUUAAUUUAUGAUUUUAAUGGAUUAUAUAGAUACAUUGAAUUUUCUAAAAAAAUAUAUUAUCUUAUUUUUUCGAUUUGUGUCAUAUUUUGAACCGGGCAAAUUCGAGACCGAAGAAAUUUAUUAAUUUACUAUGUUUGUAACUGAUCGAGUAUUAAUUUAUAGUAUUUGUACCGUAUAACUGAACUUAAAUAAAAUUAAAAAACACCGAAAGAAUAUCUUAAAGUGAAAACAAUCAUAAAACUAUAAUGUUUACAAGAGAUGAUGCGUAGUGAAGAUGAGAGAAAGGAAACUACAAUGGUUUUGUUUUAUUUAUUUAUAUACAUCAUUACAAGAGAUGAUCAGCUUGCAGUGGUACUUGUAUACAAAGAACAAAGUGUACAAGGCGAGGUAAAUAAUGGAUCUACAAUCUCACUUAAAUCGUCUUCCAAUGGCUUAGAACCUCCAUCUCCUGUCUGGCUGAAUAAUGUUUCUCUUCCAAUGAUGAACAACGAGUGUUUAUGACCAUAGAGAAUUGCUGCAAUGUUACCAACAAAUGAGAGUUUUGGGCGCUUACCCACCUUGAAUCAUCUCACUUCUUAACACAUCUUCUCUCCUUAUUCUGUGAGAGCUAAAAGAGUUACUAGCAUUCUACAUCACUCCUCUAAUUCCAAACUUGGGGUAACCAUAGGGAAUGUUGUCAGAUACGAAUCACCUCUCAUAUCUUUAGCCAAACCCUCAAUGACAUCAUAUAUCUCAUCACUCUGAGGAUGCUCUUGAUCUCUAGACACAAAACAAUUUACAUUACCUGCAACUUCAAUCCCACUACGACCAACUUCUUUCCUUAAACCCUUUUCUCUCAUUCCUCUCCUCAACCUAUCAACACUCGUCCAUUUCUGUUCCUCAGCAUACAUAUUCGAGAGCAAAACCUGAUAUCCUGAAAAGUUCUUCCCUUUAUCCACUUUAGCUAACUUCUCUGAAACAGUUUCAGCAAGCUCAAUCUCACCGUGUACUCUACAAGCUCCCAGGACCGAACCCCAUAGCUCAGCAAUGUUUCCUUCUUCACCAAGCCCUUUAACAAACUCGUAGGCUUCAUCAACGCGGCCUACUCUCCCUAACAUGUCUGUAACGCAGCAAUAGUGCUCAUUGGAAGGCUGGAUGUUAUAAACUUCACUCAUUUCCUCGAAUAUUUUGAGACCUUCAUCCACUAAACCGGAAUAGCUGCAAGCUGAUAAUACUGCAACAAAGGUGACAGCAUCUGGUUUGACUCCAGACUCUUCCAUUGAACGAAACAGCGAGAUAGCUCUCUCACCCAUUCCGUGUUGACCAUACCCCAAUAUCAUCGUGGUGUACGUCACAGAGUUUCUCUCUUUCGUUUGGUAAAACAUGUUUUCUGCGUACUGUAUCGCUCCUGACUUUGAGUACAUAUCAACUAACGCAGAAGCAACAAAUACGUUCUGAUCCAAGUACUGCCUUAUAGAGAAACCAUGUAGCUGUUUACCUAAGUCGAAACUACCUAUCUGGCUACACGCAGGGAGAAUCGACGCCACAGUUAUGGCAUUGGGUUUGAUAUUCUGUUCUAACAUCUUCCUGAACACAGCAAACGUUUCCUCUGUGUGUCCGUUCUGCGUGUACCCGGACAUCAUAGAGUUCCAAGUAGCUUGAUCUCUUUCAGCAUAGCCACUUCUCUCGAAAAGCUUCUCUGAGAUCCUUAUUAGACCUGACUUAGCAUACAUGUCAAUAAGGUAACUGUUCAUCCCCUCGAACUGAAUCCCUUGCCUUAAAAGGAAACCAUGAGUCUGCUUCCCAAUCUCCUUGUUUCUAAGAUUCGACGCAGCCGAAAGCAAAGCAGUCACUGUUAUGUAAUCGAUCUUAAACCCCUGCUUCUGCAUCUCAUACACCAACAUCAAUCCUUCAUCAUCUAAGCCGUUUUGGACAAACGCAGAGAUCAUUGUGUUCCACGUCACAACAUCUCUCUCUCGCAUCGAAACAAAGACCGCAAAGGACUCGUGCACAGAGCCGCACCUCGAGUACAUCACCAUCAACGAGUUGAAUAUCACAACGGGAAGCUCCUGAAAGUUCUUGCUGACAAAACCAUGAAACUGUCUACCUAACUCCACUUGCUGCAGCGCUGAAACUGCACUCGCUGCCAAGAGGAACGUUACUUCGUCAGACACAAUCUCUUUCGAUCCUAUUGCAUCAAGAAAAAGAUCGAUACUCUCAACCAGGUACUCGUUCUGAACAUAGACUCCUAUCAUUGUAUUCCACACCUCAAUAUUCCUCUCUACACAAGAAUCAAACACUCUCCGUGACGCUUCAAUAUCGCCAAGCUCCGCAUACAUAGAAAUAGCCGAGCUCACAACAAACAAGUCCUUCACAUACUCAUCUCCCAACUUAAGCAUCAAACCAUAAAAUACUUUAGCUCUCUUAACACUUCUCGAACUCGCCACCGCGGGGAAGACAUUCACAAAGCUAACCGGACUCGGUUUAAUCUCCAUCCUCAUCAUAAUCCCAAACUGCCUACACGCCUCAGCGUGUCUCUCCGUCUUCACAUACCAAGAAACCAACGUAUUCCACGCCACAACGUUCUUCCUACGCAUACUAUCAAAAACCUUACGCACCACGUCGUACUCGCUUCCAGGAGGAGGGUGGUUCAAGCAAGAAACGUACAUAUUCAACAGAGAGUUAUGAACAACCCUGCUCGAGUUCUGCAAGCACCGGAUCAAAUGGCAAUGCACGGCUUUACCAGCCUUCAGGUUCCUGGUCUCGGCGCAGGCCUUGAGCGUGGAGGAGUAAGUGUAAGGGUCGCAUUUGGUGAAAGGAGCGGUCUUUUUCAUCCGGGAGUAGAAAAGGAGAGCCUCGUGCGGGAGGUUGUUGCAGAUGAGGCCGAUGAUAAUGGUGUUCCAUAGGACGGUUGUUGGUUUGGGAAUUGCGUCGAACAGCUGGCGUGCGAGCUGUGGGUUUCCUUUUUGGCAGAUUCUGCUGAGGCGUGAGCGGAUUGAAGGUGUUUGGGGAGUUGGGUUUGUUGGUGGGGCGAAGGUGGAAGAGCGGCGGGUUUGGUUUGGCGGGGGAGAGUGGAACGAAAGUGGCGGUGGUGGUGGGAGAGGUAGAGCUGAUCCGGCCAUUGUGGAAGAGAUGAUGAAGAACGAAAUGAAGAUACGUUAUUGACUCUCUCUUCCGCUUAUGUUAUCAUCAUCUUUCUUCAGUGAUAAGAGUUUGUUUAUUAUCUAUUUUUUAUAAGAUAGAUUACCAUUUUUCAAAGUACACUAAAUUUGUGAUAAAAAAAAAUAAAAAAUAGACCAACUAAACUAUUUAUUAAUGUUUAAAAAAAUAUUGGGUAAAUAAUCCAUAUUUUCCCACCAAAAAUAUUGGGUAAGAAACUAUCAAUCUCGUCUUAAUUAUAUGUAUCUAUAUUAUUAAAAGAGAAGUACCCAUUUGAAAAUGUUUUUACUUCAUUAAUUAAACUUCCCUUUUUUUUGCUUGUCUUUUUCAGUUGCAUUUAUGAAAUAUCCUAAAACAAAUAAAACUGCCUAAUUGAUUACUUGUCUUUUCAGUUACAUUAAUGAAAUAUGCUUAAAUGAAUUUAAACUUCCUAUUUUAUUGUUUGUCUUUUUCAGUUACCUUAACGAAAUAUCCUUAAAUAAAUUUGGACAUAAUGUCAUUUAAUCAACCAAAAAAACUCAUGAGUUAUCCUUACGUGCAUAAUUUUAAUAAUGGAGAUUUUUAAAAAGAGAAAAUGACACAAAGAACACUAAAUGAAGUUUUCCUCCCCAAACUAGCACUCAGGAUCAGAAUUCACAAAAAUAGGUUUCAUUAAAUGGGCAAUUUACCCUUAUGCCCCCUUCUUUAACUAAUUUAAAAAACAAAUUUGAAAUCAAUUUGUCGCCGUCCUCGUUUCAUCGCUUCUUCUUCUCGUCUCUCCGUCGUCGUCGUCGUCGUCUCUCCGUCGUCGUCUCCCCGUCCUUGUCGUCGUCGUCGUCGUCGUCUCUCCGUCGUCGUCUUCGCCUCUCCGUUGAUCCGUCGUCGUCGUCUCUCCGUUUAUUUAUCGUCGUCGUCGUUUCUCAAUUGAUCUGUCGUUUCUACGUCUAUUCAUCUCAUUCUCUCUCUCGUGUGUCUGAUUUGAUUAAGGUUUGAAUCAUUUCAUUUUGUUAUACAUUAUCUAGGUUUUGUUAUAUAUUAUUCAUUUGUUGAUGAUUUGAAGUUGAUUUUGUAGAACAAUGGAAGUUUUGUGCAUCUGUGGACAAUGGAUCUCAAAAGAAUCUCUCCAGUGGGAGUUUCUUGUUGAUUUGAAGAGGAAUGCAUCAAUCAUUUCCAUAGAAGAAGAUCUACUGUAUGAAGAUUUGAUGAAGAUUGUCUCUGAAGAUUUUAGUGUUAAAGAGGAAGAAAUCAGUUUGAGUUAUGGUUUUUCAUUGGAUAUGAAAUGUAUUAUUGAAAGUUUCCCCCCACUCUCGAUAGGUAAUACUCGUCAGCUCAGAACUUUCAUUUCCAAGACUAGAGCAUUUGAUGGAACCUGUCGUUUGUGUGUUAAGGUUUGUAUGAUUUUUUCUUAGACUUUUCAGGAUAUGCUUCAUAACCAAGUAUUAUGCCUUACAGAACUACUUGACUUAUGCAGGUUAGUACUGAUCCAGUUAGCUGUAACACUCAAGCUUCUGAUACAUUUGCUUCUACUGUUCCAUUGAAUGCCAAUCCAGCGAUUCUUUCUACUGUGCAGAGUGAAAAACAGGUACAUUGUCCUUAAUUCCCUUUUUCUGUUUGUGUUUGCAUGAUAUGCUUCAUAAUCAAGUACUAUGCCUUACAGAACUACUUGACUUUUGCAGAGUCUUCUAUAUGAAGGUGUUUCUACAGUUCCUCUGAAUGCUCUUCCGGAUUUUAGUACUGAUUCAGCUAGCUGUAACAUUCAAGCUUCUGAUACAUUUGCUUCUACUGUUCCAUUGAAUGCCAAUCCAGUGAUUCUUCCUACUGUGCAGAGUGAAAAACAGGUACAUUGUCCCUAAUUCCCUUUUUCUGUUUGUGUUUGCAUGAUAUGCUUCAUAAUCAAGUAUUAUGCCUUACAGAACUACUUGACUUUUGCAGAGUUUUCUAUAUGAAGGUGUUUCUACAGUUCCUCUGAAUGCUCUUCCGGAUUUUAGCCCUGUCCAUAUUGGACUUUCACCAAACACGAGAGUAGCUGGCGAUAUUAAGGUGAAUAGCUAUUUUAAGACAAAGAGAGAGUUGAUGUUGAGGAUGAAGAAAUGGGCUUUAGAGUGGAAGUUUGAGUACAAGACUGUCUCUUCUAACAAGUCAAGAGUGCUUUUGAGUUGUGUUGAUGAAAAUUGCACGUGGAGGAUGCGUGCUAUCAAGCUACCUGUUUCAGAUUUUUUCGUUGUUAAAAAGUAUGUUCAUGAGCAUACAUGCGAUACAACACACAGGAAAGCCAACCACAGACAAGCAUCUGCAAAGUUGUUGGGUUCUUUGAUUUCCAGCAAUUAUGGAGAAAAAAAGGAAGGUCUCAAACCGAAACAGAUCAUUGAACAGGUCAGGAUGCUGCAUGGUGUUCACAUCAAUUACAAACAAGCUUGGAGAGUGAGAGAAGAAGCUCAGAUUUUGGUUAGAGGGACUCCUGAAGACAGCUAUUACAAUUUGUCUAGGUGGUUGUAUAAAAUCACAGAAACAAACCCUGGUUCCUUGACUUAUCAACAUGUUGAUGCUGCAGGAAAGUUCAAGUAUGCAUUUGUGGCUUUUGGUCCAUCGAUAAGGGGAUUUUCAUUGAUGAGGAGAGUUAUUGCAGUAGAUGGUACAUUUCUGAAGGGAAAAUUCAAUGGGACUUUAUUGGCAGCUUGUGCUCAAGAUGGGAAUUAUCAUCUAUAUCCUCUCGCCUUUGCAGUGGUUGACGCAGAAAACGGCGCCUCUUGGAAAUGGUUCUUUAGAGGUUUGAGCCAGAAGAUCCCGGACGCUUCGGAUCUUGUUUUUGUAUCAGACAGGGCUAACUCCAUUUCUUCAGCGUUGGAGGAUGUAUAUCCCUUAUCUCACCAUGGAAUUUGCAGGAUCCAUCUGCUCCGCAACAUCACUCCUACAUAUGCGAAGACUGGGUUGCUACCUCUGGUGGAAAGCGCUGCUGAUGCCUAUACGUGUCACGAGUUCUGGUUAAUCUUCAAGGACAUAAAGGAUAAAUGUCCUGAAUUGGCUAAGUAUCUGGAAGAGUCUGAUUUUAGGAAGUGGGCACGAAGCUAUGCGCCUGCGAACAGGUAUAAUAUCAUGACUACCAACAUUGCAGAGUCUCUCAAUUCUAUGUUGAAGAUGCCUCGUGAGUUGCCCAUUAUCUCUCUCCUUGAAACUAUCAGAUUGACGAUGACCACUUGGUUUUUUGAGCGACGCGAAGCGGCUGCGAAACAUAAGCACCUGGUUACUCCAAAAGUUGUUCAGAAAUUGGUAUCUAGGUUAGGGGCCGCAAUGUUGUUGAAUGUGUAUCAAGUUGAUCGAAGCGAGUUUGAGGUGAAGAAUGAAACAAUGAAGUUUGUUGUUGACUUGGAGAAGCGGCAUUGCACAUGUAAUGUUUUCGACAUUGACAAGAUCCCCUGCAUCCAUGCCAUCGCUGCUGCUAAGCAUAUCAAGAGAGAUGAAAACCGUUUUGUUGAUGCUUCUCACUUGACAGAAACGUGGGCUAAAGCUUAUGCUGAAAGCAUACAUCCUGGUGGAGAGUUGUCAACGUCCACCUAUCCAGAGAAUAUUGAUGAACUGUCUUGCCCACCUCCAGCUACCAAAAAGAAAAGUGGACGCCCUCCUACAAAGAGAAAGAGAUCCGUUGGCGAGUUUGGGGUUCCUGGAUCUAAAUCUCAGUCCCACAAGUGCAGCAGAUGUGGCACAGGAGGGCACAACAAGAUCACAUGCCAGAGGCCUAUAGGAUGAAGUUCUACAUUUUUACAUUUUUAUCGAUUAUUAUUUGGAUGUUUGGCUAUUUGAUGGUUACAUGAUAUGCACAAGACCAUAUACAUUUUUUCUUUUGGAACCCUAUCCUGAAUAAGUAUGAUUUCUUACAACUUUUGUAAUAUACAACAUUAUCUUUUGAUCUCAUUUCAAUUUUUAGUUUAAACUUCUUUGCUAGAAAAAAACACAGUAAUAUUCAACUAUUCUGGAAUCCCAUCCAACUUUUGUAACAUCCAACUUUUGUAAUAUACAAUGUAUUAUACUAUAAAUUGUAUGGGUAAAUUCAAUUAUGUGGAAGCAACUAACAGAUGAUUCUCCUCAGCCUAGCGGCUAAACCACGAAACCUAUGAUACCGAAACAUUUGAUCGACCCGGGUUCGACUCUCCUACGAGUAAUGGGUUUUUUUUUUUUUGUUCAAACAUAUAUCUCAGGAAUCACAUUUGUCGCAAUCGGAAGCCCAUCCUGAACUAUCAAAGAUCUUUCCAAUGUAUUAUACUAUAAAUUGUAUGGGUAAAUUCAAUUAUGUGGAAGCAACUAACAGAUGAUUCUCCUCAGCCUAGCGGCUAAACCACGAAACCUAUGAUACCGAAACAUUUGAUCGACCCGGGUUCGACUCUCCUACGAGUAAUGGGUGAUUUUUUUUUUUUGUUCAAACAUAUAUCUCAGGAAUCACAUUUGUCGCAAUCGGAAGCCCAUCCUGAACUAUCAAAGAUCUUUCCAAUGUAUUAUACUAUAAAUUGUAUGGGUAAAUUCAAUUAUGUGGAAGCAACUAACAGAUGAUUCUCCUCAGCCUAGCGGCUAAACCACGAAACCUAUGAUACCGAAACAUUUGAUCGACCCGGGUUCGACUCUCCUACGAGUAAUGGGUGAUUUUUUUUUUUUGUUCAAACAUAUAUCUCAGGAAUCGAAGAGUCUCUUCCAAACGAUAUCAUGUAACUCAGUAACCGAAGAGUUUCUUUUCGUCAAGAUUGGGUGUUAUAUGAUUGGUUAUUUCAGUAACUGACUUCAAUAAUCGAAGAGUUCCACAAUAAUCAAGAGUUUAUUUUAACUGACUUCAAUAAUCGAAGAGUUCCUUUUUGUUCUAUAAAUAUAAGGGACGAUAUCAGACCUUUUAUUCACUCACUUCAUUUCGCUUGAUAUAUCCUUUUGCAAUACAAGUUAGUUUUCGAUUUUUCUCAUUUUCCAUUCAAUUCAUGAACUUUUUUCUAUUUCUAUUUUAUCGUAACAUCUUAGUUUCGAUUUUGUUGCAGGACAAAGUUUCAAUGGAAGGAAGUUCAAAGAAGAUGAUGAAGCGUCCCAUAGAGGAGGUUUACGGAUGUGAUGCCGCCGAAGGUUUCAAGAAGGGGAAGAAGGAAACUGUGGAACAUUACAGGGCUCUUCUUCGUUUGUCCAACGAAUACAGGCUAUCUGAGAAUGAUUGGAAUCUUGCAUCCAGCAAAGCAAAUUCAAUUGCUGUCCAAAUCGAGUUGCUUGAAGAUAUUAUCAAAGCUGAUGGAAAAUUUGAUUUAACUGCUGAGUUGGAGAAACUCAAAGAAGAGCACUCGGAAGCGGAAGGAAUGCUUGCUGAUGUGAAGGUCAAAGUCCCUGAUUGGGAUAAACUUGGCGAAAGUUGGCUCCAUCAUGAGUAAUUUCAUGUUAUCGUCUUCUCUUUUUAUGUUUUUAAGGACCACAUUAUGUUUGAUUUUCAGUUUUUAUUUUAAAUGAAUAAGCACUUUUGUUUCUCUUGUGUUGUUUCUUCAAUUAACAACCUAAAUAAAAAACUUGUUCAAUGUUUUUCACUAUUUUGUAAUGGUUUGGCCUAGUGUUCUUAUAACUUGGUUAUCUGAUUUGCUUAUUUGUUUUUGGAAAGCCAUCCUGAAUACAUAAAAUGAUAUCCAGAUUAUAUAAAUCUAUCGUCUGUGAAUAAAUGAGUUCACAUUUACUCUGUUAUCGAAUAUCCAACGUAGCCUAGUGGCAAGCCCUUCUACUCUUAGUGUACCCUUAUCACACAAUAAGUCGUGUUCGAUCCCCGUUGUGUAUACUCACAUUUUUUUUGUUUUUAAUUAAAUAUUCAAACGUUAUUUUCGUUUUAUUGUAGCUUUUGGCAAGUAUAAGACCCUUGGUACAACGGCUGCACACUUGGAUUAAUCUAUCGAGAGUUCACGAGUUCAAUCAACAUCAGAUCACAUUCUUUUUCAUUUUUUUUUUGUAAACUUUAAAGGAAUUUGUUUUUGGAAAGCUAUCCUGAAUACUUAAAAUGAUAUCCAGAUCAUAUAAAUCUAUCGUCUGUGAAUAAAUAAGUUCACAUUUACUCUGAUAUCGAAUAUCCACCAUAGCCUAGUGGCAAGCCCUUCUACUCUUAGUGUACCCUUAUCACACAAUAAGCCGUGUUCGAUUCCCGUUGUGUAUAUUUUCACUUUUUUCUGUUUUUAAUUAAAUAUUCAAAAGUUACAAGUUAUUAUCGUUUUAUUAUAUCUUUUGGCAAGUAUAACACCCUUGGCACAGCGGCUGCACACUUUGAUUCAUCUUUCGAGAGUUCACGAGUUCAAUCAACAUCGGAUCACUUUCUUUUUCAUUUUUUUUGUAAACUUUAAAGGAAUAUGCUAGGCUUUGGUGCAUUUUGCUUUCUCACUCUUUUUCUGGAAACCCAUCCUAAAAGUACCAUAAGCAUUUGACAAUUCAUCAAUACAUCCUAAAAAUUUUUCAAUAACAAUCUAAAUGAAAAAAACGUUAGGGAUAAUUCAUUACAAACUUAAACUUAAACGUUAGGGAUAAUUAAUAUCAAAGUAGAAAAACAGUGUAGAAAACAGAACAAAUAUGACAUUUUCACUUCCUUUGACCUUCCUGGAAAUCUUUAUCCAUAAACUGGUCGAAGAUCUCACAACAUAGCUUGCUUCGUAAGUCCAUCGCAGUUUCAUCAUUUAUAUUAGCCAUGCUCUUCAAUCCCAGUGACCUGCAUUCCAGCAUCUUCACAACAAAAAUACCACAGUUGUAUGGAAAUUUUGUCUUUGGAAGCCCUUCUGCAAACUUAACUUCAAAUGGACUGAUAUCUUCGAAAUUAACCUCUUCACCAAGAAGUUCCAUCUUUAUGGCACUAAUCAACACUGUCAUAAAUACCCAAAAUUAUACAAUAAAUCAAUCACCAACAGACAACAAAAUGAAUAUGUAAAAAUGCAUCACAAUCACAAGCAGCAAGUGACAAACUUUUAUUUUCUAAAUUAGCUAAUAUUUUUACCUGCCAGUUCUUGGAUUUGAUUAAGAGCACGUUUGAUAUUUGCUUUUGGAAGACCACAAUGGAAGAGUGUGAUUGUGUUGUCCAUCAAUUGUAUCUCCACCCCAAUAUAGUGACAGCUCAACUUAUCUUCAAUGACACCAUAUAUAACAUCAACAUCUUCCAGCCAUACCUUCUUUGGAUGUAUUAAACCUUUCACAAGUUCGCCUACACAGCCCUCCAAUAACUUUUUUUUUUCUUAUGUGGCUUCCUGACAGAUUCAUAAGCGUACCCAACCUCUUCUAAGAAUUUGACUGGUACAAAGCAUGCUGGUGGAAGAUUGUUGUUGCGGAACCAAGCACCUUGCUCAACCCUCUUACAAUUUAGCAUUUCAAAUGCAACAUUUAUGUGCUGCCAAUGUAACAAUAUAGUUAGAAACUUCAUAUAGAACUGCUAUAACAUGGACAUCUAGCAUAGCUCAACUCAACCUCUUCCUAAACAUAUCACACAAUCAAAUAGAAGACAGAACAGAGUGUUGAUUACCUCUUUGUUGAGAUUGUUUUCUGCAUCGUCCAUUUUUUGAAAGAACUCUUUUUCAAUUUCUUUUCCAUUGAUAUAAAACGGUCUGUAGUUGAUAAAAUUAACUAGUAUCAAUCGAAACUUUUACAAAAUAAAUUAGGAAUAUUUAUGCGAGGACAAAAAGUUGCUUACACACGAUAUAUGCCCCGUAGAUCCAUCCAGUGUGUAAGCCUUGAAAACCGAGGAAAUUCAGGUGUCACAAAUGGAUCAAUUGGAAGGAUUACCUCAGGUGUUACAGGUAUAGGAGGGUUUCUAGGUCGUAUUGGCCUCUUCUCUUCUCGCUGUAGAAAAGGAAGCAAAUCUACUGGCUGAGCAUUUGCUUUCUUCUUCUUACCAACAUGUGGCUUCCCCUUUAAUUAAAAAUAAAGACAAAAAUUCAGGAUCGUUUUUAUCUUUAUACUUGAAUGCCUUCCUAAUAUGAAGUAAAAAUAUUUUUUAUACCUUUUUUGCAUGAUCGUCUUGACUUGGUUUCACACUCUUACCCUGCUUUACUUCUAUCUGUGAAACAAAACCGAUAUAUCAAACUAUUGACCUGAACUUCAAUUCAAGUGGAUCUUAUUCAUUUUUAUUACCUCUUUUGCCAUUUUCCCAACACCAUCUUCUGAUGGACCAGCUGCUUCAUUUUUCUUACAAGCGACAGCCUUCGCCUUCCCCUUUUUGAAUGACAAAAAUUCAGAUACAUUUAUAUCUUAAUUCCUAGUAUGAUGUAUAAAUAUUUCAUACCUUUUUAUCACCAUCUCCUUCACUUGGAUUCACACUCUGCGUCUGCUCUUCUUCCAUCUGAAAAUCAAUACCGAGAUAUUAAACAAAUGACAUUAUUUUUCAAUUCAAGUGAUCCAAGGCAUUUGUUUUACCUUUUUUGUCAUCUCCCAAACACCAUCUACCCAUUUUCUUGGUUUUCGCAUCUCAGAAUGGUGGAAGUAAAUUUGUUCUUUAGAAUUGUUCAAAGAGACAAAACACGAGCCAUCAAACAAAAUGACUUUAACUUUUCCAGCGCACCAGGCACCAUUGUCGAACGCCUCCACGUCCUGCAUUAGCUCAUAACUUUUCUUCGCUCCAGAUCUCUCAGGUGGUGGUUGAGGACGUAUUCUGUCAAUUGAUACACGUGUCUCAACACUCCUUUUCCUCUUCUUUUCGUCCAGAGACGGGACGAAGUACUCAACUUUCACCAUCUCAACCCCAUCAACCAAAUAUGUUGCCAACACAUUUCCUGGAUACCAUUUAUGACAAGUAUUGUCAUCUUGUGAUGAAAUCUCCACAUUUGCUCCGAUCUCAAAGGGAUUUUGAACUCUGCUUUCUACAUCCUGUGAUGGUUUAGAUUCAAGGAUAUCCAGUCAUUUUGAUAGUUGCUGAGUAUUUAUUAAAGGUUUUAAUGAAAGUAAUACCUUAUUUUGCUCUGUUAAAAGAUUUCUGCGAGCUCGGGUAUUUGGCUGUGUGUCGGAAAUGUUUGGUGAAAUGAUCUCAUUCAUAAGCUCGUGAGUCUCCUGAAUUCAGGAAUGGUUGAAUGAACACGUACAAGGGCUUCCAAAAAUUACUUGAAAAGUCCAAUUUUUUAAAGAAGGUACCUGCUGCGUCUGAAUUGGAGUAAGGACUGGAGUCUCAAUAUUCUGUUGAGCUAUUGGAGAACCAGGUGUCUCUUUCGUGAUCUCAUUCAUAGGCUCUCGUGUAUCCUGAUGUCAGGAAUGGGAUUAUGAACACGUACCAAAUUCAUAAUUUUAUAAAUACCAACAGUUUUCAAAAUUAUACUUGCCUCAUUGUUAAGUUGUUCAUCUGCUUGAUCUGCAUUGGCUUCACCUUGUCUGGAAGCCGUCUCAUGAAAUGGAGUUGUGUCAGUCUGUGCAAGUACAACAAAAAUUAGGAAGGCAAGCCUAAAUAUGUAUAACAUCUUCCAAAAUUACUUGACAACUCAAAACUGAAUCAAGAACUAGAUAAACAUUAAUUUUAAUUUCCGAAAAAAAAGUUACCUCAUUGUUUGGAGUUUCAUAUGAAGUAACUCUUUGUAGUUUCUCUAGGUUUGUCACACGUUCUUUAAUCUGUUUCCUGUCUUUUUCAAUCAAACACAAACGAUCGUUCAUGAUCCUUAAAUUAUCUCCCACCAUCUCGCUGAUUCUGUUGAUCUUUGAUUCCAAAGACUCCUCCUGAUACGAAGUAGAAGCUUGACUCAUCCCUCCAUUCCCAAACAGUAAAGAUGCUCUUCUUAUUUCUUCAUUAGCACCGUAUAGGUCUACUGACAUGUUUCGCCAAUCUCUAAUUUUAAACUUAUAACCUCUCUUGGAUAAAUCGGCCAUGUCAUCCAGAUCUUUAUUAGCUUCGUCUCCCAUGCAAACAUCAUCUUCUGGAUCAUUAGAAAUAGGAGGUAGGAUGCAUGUGACCUUAAGCUGAAACCAUAAAAAUAAUUAGCUUUUAAAUGGAGAAUCAUAAGGCAAAACAGAAACAAGAAAAAAAUAAUGUAAAAACUUACAUGAUCUUUGAUUUCAAUUAGGAGAACAUCUAUCAGCUGUGGAGAAGCUAUUUGAAGGUACUUCUCACACAAAAAUAUUGGGGUAGACGGUUGAACGCUCAGAAUAGGAACAACUUGACUGAAUGCAUACUGUAGCAAAGGUACUGACUCAAGUAUCCAUAUAAGAAAUGCCAUAGGGAACCCUUGCAAAUCAUAAUUGUUUUUGUCGAGGCUUUUGUCGACAGCUCUCUGAAGUGAUUUUAACAGCAAAUUAUAAGCUGUUCUCCCCCAUGGGUAUGUCAUCAAGACAUCCAUAUCCUGCGCUAUUUUCACAUAAUCCAAAGUAAAAGUUGUGCCACCGUCGAGAAGGCUCUUCUGUAGUAGUAUGCUCUCAAUCAGGAGGAGCAUUGCAAGGCAGAAUCUCUCAUCAGAAGCAUCUUCUCUUGUGUUUCUGAGCUGCUUCUCCACGUCCUUUACUGUAUGAGUACGCCCUUUUAGGAAGUCCCACUUAAAUUUCUCGGUUCCCUCUCGUGGUUCUCUUGCUUCACCACUACAUUUCAAACCAGUCACCAUGUGGAAUUCUCUUAUAGAGAACCUCAUUGGCUGAGCACCAAAAUGGAACCAUGCUUCGUGUCUCUUCACUGUCUUGAUGCUUUUGGUGAGAACUGCGUGCACUAUCUUAGCUGAUAAUUUCAAAGACCUCUCUCCAAGCUUGAUCACCGGUCCCAAAAACGUCCCUCUUAUUCUGUUGAACUCAUCAUUUCCUAGAAUUUCCUUAACAGUUUUGAUAUAAGCAACUAUCGAGUGUUGGUUUAUCGAUAUCGUCUUCUCUGGCUCUGAUCCAAUCGGAUACCUCAGCUCAGGCAGUGCUAGUCUUAAUGGUAAUGGAUCUCCCAUCUUGUUUCUAUCCUGCGUAAACAAGAAAAAUUUUAUUUGUCUAAAUUAAUUAAAAUCCAAUUUUCAGGAAGGGUUUCCUGAAAAAAAUACAAAUCCUUCCCGAAGUCUAUACACAUGCUUUCACAUGAACUAGAAUUCUACGAAUCAUAUUAGGUUAAAACGAGCAAGUCUAUACACAAGCAAAAACCAGGAGACCAAUCUCUCAGAAAGAAAACACACAUAAGGUUGAAUCUGCAACAUACCUUCAAGAGAUAGAGCUCUAGAAAUGGUUUUUCUCGGAGAAUAGAGAGAGCUCGCGUAAAAGAUCGAGAGAGAGAGAGUUCUGGAGAUGGGUUUUCGUCGGAGAUCGAGAGAUAUGGAGAUGAGAGAGAGAUUCGAGAGGCGGAGACGAGUGAGAUUCGAGAAGUUUGAAACGGCGAGAGUGUUGAGACGGCAAGAGUUUUGUUUUUUUUCAAUCGAAAUGUAUUGUUUUGGAAACCUAUCCUAUAUUAAUUGGGUUAAGUAUGCUUAUGUAAUAUUCUUUAACAGAUGAUUCUCCUCAGACCAGCGGUUAAACCAAGGCUUUUUAUAACUCAAAAGUCUCUCUAUCCCCGGGUUCGAUAUGUGGUGGAUUCAAAAUCUAUUUUAAUUCUUUUUUGUGUUACAGUUUGGAGUUAAAUAAAAUUAAAUGUAAUCCAUAACAGAUGAUUCUUCUUGGCCUAGUGGCUAAACUCCCACACUAUCCAAAUACGCAGACUCUCUCCCUCUGGGUUCGAUCCUUUGUGGUUCUAAAUUUUUGUUGUCUGUAAACAUCACAAUUUUAAGCUUACCAUAUACAUGUCCAAUCCUUAGUAUAUAAUCUCAUUUCAUUCUUUUUUACAUUUGAAACACUUAACUUUUUUUCUGGAAACCCAUCCAGAAACAAUAUUUUAACCUUCCAAGAUAUAUGAUACCCAAAUAAAAUACUUGAUAUCCUUCCAAUCUUUCUUAUGUAACCAGACGCCAACAACAUAACAAAAUAAACAGUCAUAACUAAAACCGAGUCUUAACUAAAACAAAAAAUGUUUUCAUGCAUCAUUCUCAUUUCCCAAAGCUCUCAUCCACAAAUUGGUUGAAGAUCUCACAAGACAAGGUUCUCCUUAGCUCCAAUGCAUUGUCAUCAUUAAUCUUUGUCAUGUCUCCUAUCUUCAAUGACUGGCACUCCAGAAUCUUGACAAGAAAUAUCCCACAGUUGAAAGGAUGUUUUGUCUUGGGUAAACCUUGUGCCUGCUCAAUCUCAAAUGGAAUCAUCUUCACCUUAUCUACCUCAUCACCAGAAGAUUCCACCAGCAGAUUAGAAAUCAACACUGUCAUAUUUAAAAAUCAAUAUCAAGAUAGAAUCAGUUGAAUAUUUCAAACCAAGAAACAGAUGAAUACAUCAAAUACAGAUUGUUUAUACAUACCUGCCAACUUUUUCACUUGAGGAAUAUCAAUGCUGUUGCUUUCCUUUUGAAAACAAUCAUAUACUGUGAUUCUUUUCUUCUUCAAAUGAAUUUCCAUCCCAAUCCAGACAUUGCUUUUUUUUCCAAGAGUAAUCCCAUACACAACAUCAACAUCUUCUCCCCAUGUCUUCUCUGGAUAUACCUUCCCUCUCACAGUAUCUUUAAAUAAAUCGUUGAAAAUCUUUUUACCUUUGACCUUUUCUUUCUUGUAAGCCAAAUCAUCAGAGAGCAAGCAAUGCAAGAACUCCAUAGGUAGGAAGCACGCCUUUGGAAUCUUGUAGUUGUGGAACCAAGCAGCAUUCUCAUUUCUUCUGCAAUUUAGCAUUGCAAAGGCUCCAUCAAUGUGCUGCAAAAAAAAAGGCAAACAUUAUCUAAUUUGUUACUAUAUAAUUUCCUGAAACUAAACAAAUCCUUCCUGAAUUUUUUUUUAAAAAAAAAGCUCAAGGCAAGAACAUAUGUAAACAAAUUACCUCUUUCUUAAGGUCCUUUUUUGCAUUUUCCAUGCUUUGAAAGAAAGAUUUCCUUAUCUUAUUAUCAUUGAUUGAUAGGGACCUGCAGUCGAUUAAAGAUUCAAAGGAAUUACCAAACCUCUUAUACAUAAAUAUAAGAAUAUAUAGACAAGGACAGAAACAUGCUUACGUUUCAUGCAUGCCGGGCUUUAAUGUCAUCCAAUUUUGAAGCCUUGAAAGCUUAUGUUCCGCAGGAGUUGAAAACGGAUCAACUGCAGGUAUAAUCUCAGGUAUUACAGUUAAAGCCGGAUUUCUGUCAGACUUGAAUGGAGUUUUUGUGUCUCUAGAUCGUUUAGGCACCCUCUCGCUCCUUCUUAGGAAAACAUUAUCCAUUCCUGAAUUUUGUGAUGAGGCAGCAGCUUUCCUUUUCUUAUCAGGCUUCACCUUUAAUCAAACAAUAGACACCAAGCAAAAUAUUAUCAAAUUUGUUGCAAUCGGAAUUUCUGGAAACCAUUCCUGAAACUAAAAUGUAUGUAUAUCAAACAAUUCACGUGAAGUAUAAUUCUAGUUAUGAUUUACCUUAUCUGCCAUCUUCCAGACUCCAUCUUUCCAUUCUCUAUGAAUUCGCAAAUCUGAAUGUUUGAAUAGAAUAGUUUCCAUAGAAGUAUAGAGACACACCGAGUAUGUGUUAUCACCAAGUACCAUGCUAAUUUGUCCGCUGCUCCAGCCAUUGUUGUAGAAGGCUUCUACCUUAUCCAUCAUCUCAAAGGAUUUUUGGUCACUAGUUGGUGUUGCAGGACGUAUUUUGUCAGCCGUGAUAGUAUCCUGAAGUUUCUGAAGUCUAUGUUGGUCUGUGAAGAGUGUCGUGUACUCAACUGUCAGCUCCUCUAGUCCUUCACACAGUUUAAGAUCAACAACCUUUCCUGGAUACCAUAUUUCGUCAUCAGUAGACAAAAUUUCAACCUCUGCGCCUAUUUGAAAGUGAGCUAGAAGCCUGCUUACUUCAACCUAUUAAAAAUGAAGAUUCAGUAACAUCAGCGGUUUUAAAUUGUUAGAAUAAUAAUUAAAGAUCAAAUAUACUCGAUGCAUACCUCGUUUUUUUCUGAAAAAUCUAUAGCACUUGUCUGAAGAUGCUCUGUUUGCUGAGUAAUAGGCGGCAUCUUCGAAACAUAUGUGGAAACUAGCUCAGUAGUAGGUUCUGUAGUAUCCUUGAGAUUUUCUUCUGCUUGAUUCUGCUCUGAUGGUGUCUCAUCGGAUUGAUCUCCCUCACUUGUCUGAAGGUGCUGUGUUUGCGGAGUAAGAGGCUGUGUCUUCGAAACAUCUGUGGAAACUAGCUCAGUAGUAGGUUCUGUAGUAUCCUUGAGAUAUUCUUCCGCUUGAUUCUUUCUGCUUGAUUGUGAAUGCUCUCCUUCACUUGUAGAAAAAUAUUGGGUCGCAGUUUCUGUCUCACUCUAUAAGACAAAAGUAAAUGGUAAGAGUUAGUUGAAUAGAAAAAUAUUACCUAAACAUUUUAAAUAUUUCUUCUUACCAAAGCAUUCUUAUUUUCUUCAAUAACUAGUGCAAUUAGUGAAGACAAUGGAGAGGAAGGUCUGUAAUGCACAGCAUGUGUAUCCUCCUGUAAUAACAGUAAAAUAAAAGAGGUAGUUAUGAAGAAGUUUCUACAAUUUAAAAUUCAAGUUGUACUUAUGAAAGACAUUUCUAUGCUUACCUUUUUAUUGUUUGCUGAAAUGAUCUCAGUCAAUGGCUGUGUAGCCUCAUACGUUUCCUCUGUUACCGUCUGCAAAAAAAACAAAAAAAAGUCAGGUAGGGGAUCAAAAACACGUACAAAAGCUUUCAAACAUUACUUGAAAUCUCCAAGAUUUUUUGAACAUUUACCUGCUGUUUCUGAAUUGGAGUAAAAACUUGAGCCUCAAUACUCUUUGGAGAUAUUGGAGAAGAAGGUGUCUCAUUCAUUUCCAGUGUUUCUUUUUGCAAAACUUGAGUCUGAGCAGCAGGUGACUCAAUCACAAUCUGCAAAAAAUAUCAGGAAAGGCCAUCAUGAAUACAUUCAAUUAUAAUUUCUAGAGUAAAUAUUACCUCAUCAUCUGGUUUUCCUUCUCCUUGAUUAGUUUUGGGUGGCGUUUCAUCAGUAGAGGUUUGUGUUUCCCUCUGCCAAAAAUUAGAAAGGUCUAUAUAUGUAAAUCACCCAAAACUAAUUGUAAACUCCAACUGUCAUUGAGCAUAUACCUCUUUUGUCAGAUUAGGAGUAAAAACUUGAGUAUCAAGGGCAGGCGUGUCAUCCGAUGGCUCUCUCUCAAUCUGUAAAAAUUAUCACGAAGUCAAUCCAGAGUACGUUCUAAAGCUUCCAAACAUUAACUUAAAAAUCCAAGAUUUUUUUUGACCAUGUACCUGCUGAGUCUGACUUGGAGUAUAAACGGGAGUUUCAAUACUCUUUGGAGCUAUUGGAGAAGAAGGUGUCUCAUUCAUUUCUACUGUUUCUUUCUGCAAAACUUGACUCUGACUAGCAGGUGACUCACUUGUUAAUUUCUCUCUCACAAUCUGCAAAAAAAUAUCAGGAAUGGCCAUCAUGAAUACAUUCAACUAUAAUUUCUAGAAUAAAUAUUACCUCAUCAUCUGGUUUUCCAUCUUGAUUAGGAUUGGAUGGCCUCUCACCGGUAGACGUUUCUGUUUCUUUCUGUCAAAAAUCAGAAAAGCCUUUAUAUGUAAAAAAAAAUCACCCAAAACUAAUUUGUAAACUCCAACUGUGAAAACAAUAUCAUUGAGCAUAUACCUCUUUUGUCAGAUUAGGAGAGAAUACUUGAGUAUCAAGGGCAGGAGUUUCAUCAUCUGAUUCAUUCAUUGUGUCCUGCAAAAAUCAAGAAUGCAUUCUAGAAUAUGUACAAAAGCUUCCAAAUAUUACUUCAAAACUCAACAAUAUUUUAUUGGUUACAUACCUCAUUUGUCAAAUUAGGCUGUUGAGACAUUGGAGAUAAAGGCGUCUCACUCGAUGAUUGCGUGUAAUCCUGCAAAAAUCAGGAAGGCAUUCAGGAUUUUGUACAAGAAUUUCCAAAUAUUUUCUUAAAAAUUUUUGAGCAUAUACCUCAUUUUGUUGAGACUUUGGAGAUGCAGCUGAUUCAAUCAUUGUCUCCUGCAAAAAUCAGGAAUGCAUUCAAGAAGUACAAAAGCUUUCCAAAUAUUACUUCAAAACUCAACAAUAUUUAUUGGUUACAUACCUCAUGUGUCAAAUUAGGCUGUUGAGACAUUGGAGAUAAAGGUGUCUCACUCGAUGGUUGCGUGUGAGACAUUGGAGAUAAAGGUGUCCCACUGGAUGGUUGCGUGUGAGACAUUGGAGAUAAAGGUGUCCCACUGGAUCGCUGUUUGUCAAAUAUUAGGAAGGCAUUCAAGAAUAUGUACAAGAUCUUCCAAAAAAUACUUGAAAAUGCAAAUGUAAAAGAAGAUGUUUUGAGAAUUUACCUUUUGUGUCACGUUAGUGGGAAAAACAUUGCUGUUUCCUUCCAACUCUGACACACGAGCUCUAAGAUGUAUGUUUUCUUCUUCCAGUAAUGACAUUCGAUCCUUCAUGCUCUUCAGAUUCUCCUCCAUUACCGUGAUGAUCCUGUUCACUUUUUCAUUUACUGAAUCCUCAUCAAUCGGAGUAGAAGCUUGGCCAGUCUCCUUAUUUGCCAUCAUUUGAAUAAGAGCAUCCAAUGUGUCAAAUGUGUCUACACACCUAUUUUCCCAGUCAUCGGCUGUAAUCUUGUACCCUUUCUUUGUUACAUCUUUCACUGUUUCCAACUCGUCACUAUAUUUGUCUUCAAUGGAGAUAUCAUCUUCUGGAUCAUGAGGAAUAGAAGGUAGUAUGCAAUGGACCUUCAGCUGAGAAUAUUUCAAAAAAAGACCAAUGAGAAACAUAUUAAAAAGAAGAAGCCAAAUAAACUGAGAAACAUAUACUUGGAAAAGCUUACCUUUGUAUCAGCUUCAACCUGUAAAACCCUAUCAAGUGAUGGAUUCUCUAUCUCAGUGUAUUUUUCACACAAGUAAGUCGGCCCAGGAACCUCAACUGUUGGUACACACUUACUGAACUUAUUCCUUAGCAAAGGAAUCGACUCUAGUAUCCAAAGAAGGAAUACUAGAGGAUAACCUUGCAACUCAAAUUUGGAUUUAUUCUCCAAAUGAUUCGCGACAGCGUUUUGAAUUGACUUCAGGAGCACAAUGUAAGCCUCUUUUCCCCAUGGAUAUGUCAUAUCCUGUGCAUUUUUCGCAUAUUCCAAAGGAAAACUCCCUCCUUUGCUCUUCCGCAAUAAUAUGCUCUCUACCAGGAUGAGCAUUGCGAGGCAUAUUCUCUCCUCAGAAGCAUCUUCUCUUGUGUUUCUGAGCUGGUCCACCACGUCACUUAACUUAUGACUACGCCCCUUUAGCAAUUCCCAAUUAAAUCUCUCGGUUUCCCUUCGUGGUCCUUCUAAUGCACCACUACAUUUCAAGCCUGUCAUCAUAUGAAAUUCUCUUAUAGAGAACCUCAUUGGCUGCGCACCGAAAUGGAACCAGGCUUCAUUCUCCUUGACAGAAACGAUGCUUCUAGUGAGAAUGGCGUAGACUAUCUUUGCUGAUAACUUCAAUCCUCUCUCACUGAGCUUCAUUACAGGUCCCAGAAAUGAUCCUCGGACUCUUAUCAUCUCAUCUGGUUUUAGGAUGCUUUUGACAAUAGAGAUAUAAUCUGAACCAGAGUAUUGGUUGAUUGCUGACUUUUCUUUUGGCUGUGAACCAAUAGGAUACUUCAGCUCUGGCAGUGCUAGUUUUAGAGGUACUGAAUCUCCCAUCUUGUUUCUAUCCUGCGUAAACAAGGAAAAAAAAAAUUUCAAACUUUUCUGGAAGGCUUUCCUGAAAUAACACAAAUACAAAACAACACAAAAGUCUUCAUUUGCUUCGCUUGUUAAUAAGAACGAGUAACACACAAAUCAAAAUCAAAACGCAAGCUUCCCAAAUUUUAAUUCAAAAACCCUAAUUUUAAAAAGUUACCGAUUUUGAGAGUAGAGAGUGUGACGCUGAUGAUUAGAUAGCCGGAGAAGAUGAUUAUCGAGCCGGAGAAGAUGAUUAGCGAGCCGGAGAAGACGAUUAGCGAGCCGGAGAAGAUGAUUCCCGAGCCGGAGACUUCGAUUCCCGAGUCGGAGAAGAUGAUUCCCGAGCCGGAGACGACGAUUCCCGAGUCGGAGAAGAUGAUUCCCGAGCCGGAGACGACGAUUCCCGAGUCGGAGACGACAGUGCCGGUGAGGGUUUGAAGAUUCCCGAGAGGAGACGACACGAUUCGCGAUCGAAUGAAAUGAAAUGUUUUUUUUUUCUAUUCUUAUAACAAAGGGUAUAAAGGUAAAUUACCCCUUUAAUGAAACCUAUUUUUGUGACUUCUGAUCCUGAGUGCUAGUUUGGGGAGGAAAACUUCAAAAGGUGCUAUUAUUGACAAUUGCCCUUUUAAAAACGUGCAUCAUUAAAAUGUUACCUAAAACAUGCAACACUAAUAUAUAACAUGCAUCAAUAAAACUAGAAUUUGACUCACACAAUUGUACGGAUAUUAUUUUCAGUUGAUUAAAUUUAAAAAUAAUUAUUUAUUCAAAAAAUAUUUAAGAAUGGCUAUGUUUUUAAAACUUAUAUGGUAUUAUUUGCUCAUAACUCAUUUGUCAUUUGAUAAAUUGUUAGAAAUAAAAAUUUUAGCAUAAUAUAACUCAGUUGUCAUUUGCUAAAUUUAUAGUUUUUAUUUAUAUUUUUUAUUAUUUAAUUAUAAUAUUUUCAUUUUAUAUUUGAAAGAUAAAUGAAUUUUCUUUCAAACAAUAUUUUUGUAAAUGUAUUUUUUAAAAAAUAAUCAACUAAAAUUGUUAUUAUCAUUGAAUAUAAUUAUUUUUGACAUAAUUUGAGUUUUCGUUUACAUCAAAACUUAUCAUAUUUUAGGAUAAUUUUAAUUUAAAAUGUAAUUUUCAUAUUUUUCAAACAAAUUCUAAAAAUAUUUUUUUAAAUAUUUUGUUAUAAUUGUUAAAAAAAUAUUGAGUUGCAUUUCAAAUAAAAAGGUAAAGAUAUUAAAAAUAUUCUAAUUAAAAUAUGUAAAAUUUAAUAUAGUUUUAAGGAAAUUGUCAAAAUAAAAAAAAUUACACAUAAAAUAAUCAUGAUUUUUGUUAACUGGGCGGAUCAUUAUUUAUAUGAUAUCGCACACGAAAGAAAAAAAAAUUUAAAUUAUCUAAUUAACUCUAUACUCAUUUUAUUUAUAUUUUUAUAUGGUAUCAUACAUUCGUAAAAAAAUAGAUAGUUUAAGAUGAAAAAAAAUAUAUUUACUUAAUGAAUAUAAUAUGAACGAAUAUUACAAAUACAUCAUUUAAUAAAAUAAAUAAUUAAAAAGUGAAAAUUCAUACCCGCGCUGGCGCGCGGAUCAGGAUCUAGUUUUAAAUUAUUCUACAUGUUAUUUCCCAAUUCAAAGUUUCAAACCAUAAAACCACAUAAUCUUUGUGGUUAAAAAAAAAGAAAAAAAAAGCAUAGGCGAUGGAGAGGCAUGUUUUAACGAGGGUCAAGUUGGUUUUUAUUUGGUUAAUUGUUUUUGGUUCAAGUGUUUCGACUUUAAUUUAGGUUGUAAACGAAUUUUGGUUUACGUUGUAAACCAUUAAAUCAGUGAAAAGCCGGGUUUGUGUUUCAGUUUUUUGAAUUGGUGAGUAAUACGUAAAAUAACUUAAAAUAUGUGAAAUUAAGAUGAAGUUGAAAGUUUGUGUAUAAUUGUUAUUAUAUGAUAUUUUGUGGGGGAAUUAUGUCCUUUACUCAAAAACAUUUAUAUAAGUUUAUAAAUUCAACCCCAUUUCCUAAUCUUAAAACCUAAACAAUAAUCAAUAAUCUAAACCCAAAUGUUAAUGUAGUUUUGAUUGAGCAUAUCUUUUUAAAAUUAGUAGCCAAUUUAGAAUAUUUCAAACUUCUUAAAAAUAUUCUAUUGAUGUAAAUAUAAAGAUUAUCUAUUGUAUAUAUGAUUAAAUAUUGGUUCCAUUUUAUAUAUUAAUUCAAAAUUAAGAAUUAAAUUUAUAAUAUAAUAGAAACUUUGGGUUUUAUUGGUUUUAUUAAAUAUCAAGGUUCAUAAUCAGAGAUAGUGAAAAACUAAAUUCAAGUUCGAGCUUAGAGUGAGAGAUGUGAAAAUAAAAAUAGAAUGAUCAAAAUGUUAAUGAGGCAAAGUCUUGAGAGAAAAUGAGAGAAAAUAGAAUUUUUAGGUUGAAAUCUAUUUAUAGAUGUCUUAAAACGAGCUGGAUCCACCCAAUAAAGCUCGGUCAAACCAAUAAAAAGUGGUCUUUCCGUCUGACAUGGUCAUCCCACUAUAAGUAGGUCGCUACAACACUUAGUUGUGUGGGGCUUCUUGGGGAACCAUAGCGACAUGCUCUGGUCGCUACAGCUAUGGUCGAUACAUGGUUGAUAUGACUCCAGUAGAUAGAUCAUAACUCCUUCAAUACAGCUACAAAUGAUUUGAAACCCCGGCAUUGGAAAGCUAACUCAAUUGUCUAUAUCGUCCCGAAAUUCGAGCUUCAGAAGAGAUCUUUAAGGCCGUCAUCCAUGUUCAUCUUUUACCCUUUUGACUCAAAACUCCUCAAAUUCCCUCAAACUCACCAAUAAAUAUCUCCAAAACCUGAUAUAGACACAUGCAAUGCGAUAUAAAUAUGUAUAAAUGCAUCUCUAUAUGAUCAUUAUAUACAUUAAAUGAUAAUUUAAAAUCAUGGAAAUUUAUAAGAUAUCAACCCUCCCACACUUAUCAUUUACUUGUCCAUAAGUAAACUUUCAAGAACAAAGUGAGAAAGAGGUGCGAAGGUGGAAGCUCAUUACCAAAAGAUAUUUUUCAAAGCCGUCAACGUGAUAUCCUUACAAAAUCAUACCAAAUAUCAAGAGCAAAACAUCAUAUGAAACUCUAACUUCUCUAGGCUGAUACUACUCAAAUUACCCUAAGGAGUGAUUUUACUCUCUCAAAUAAGAAGUUCAAUUGUAGUACUUAGGGAUCGAAGCUACAGAGAGUUAGGGCACACAAUAGACUAUUAAAACCAAGAUUAAGCUAGGCAAAGCAGUAAAUCAAUGAAAGCAAGAUGAACAAAGUAGUUGUUCCAUUGGUUGAUUGAGGUUGUAAACAAUUAAGAGAAAUAGCUAGACCUAGGGAUUUAUCAAUCAAGAGAUUCAAAACUUCAAUUCAAGGAUGCUAAUGGUUUACAGAUUAAUUUUAGAACUUGAUUUUAAUAAGUAAGCAAUCCAGCUUUCACAUGCAAUUGCUAAUCAGAUGUUUAAGUCCAGUCUCAGCUGUCGCUUAUUGACUUGGGGCGAGUGUCGAUCGAUGCUAUGGCCUGAGCGUCGAUCGAUACUUCCCCAGACAAGCAUUAACGACCUAAUCAAUAUAGUUCAACUAGAUUCCUAGACCAAUUCUCGCAUGCGCCUAGGUAUCUAAUCCAGCAGAGUUCGGGUUCCGUUAAUUGAUUGCACUUUCGUGCCUCUCAACUAUCCUAUGAUUCUAGGUUCAAAUAAUUAGUCGCACUGUCGUGUUAUUCUAACUAUUCCAGAUCCUAGUAUUACAAAUCAUCCUGGUGUAGAAAUCUAUAGAUAAUAUAGCAAUCCUAAUUGAUCAGUUUGACAUUAAGCUCAUGAAAUCCCUAAACCUAACAAGAUGAAUUACUUAGACAUGCAAACAAUAACACAAAUCAUAGUCUGAAAAAUAUAAUAGAUAAAUCAAUGGUAAGACAAAUGGAGUUCCAAUCAAUAUCUGAAGGAGAAUUGAUCUUCUCUCUAAACCUAAGAAAAAACAAUAGAAUAGGAUAAUAGAAAGCUUGUUACCGUUAACAAUGAUUUAUAAAUAAAUACAUAAAUAGGGUUUCUGGUCGUCCAUGGGUAUUUUGGUAACUUGGUGUGGCUUCUGGGCUUCAAACGGUCUUGAAAAAUGCGUGUCCCACGUUCUGGCAUCACUGUCGAUCGACACUAAUGCUGUGUUAACGAUCGACAGUUAUUCAUCUCCUCGAUAGCUUCUUCUCGCGAGGCAGACUGACUACUUUUCAGUAAAACGGUCAUAACCUCUGCUGCAGGUUACCAUUGACCUCAAACCGAUGGAAUUGGAAAGCUAACUCAAAGCUAUAUUUUGUGUCAAAAGAUGGGCUCAAUAUAACGGUGGGAAAGUCUCCAUCUAUAGCUAAAUAUCUGACGUGUAUGUGCCGCUCUGCACAUCAAAAGGCUCCAAAAGACACCAAAAUCACCACAUUCCUCCAAAUCGUCCAUGAACCUGUAAAUACUCUAAAUAGACUCUAUAUAGUAGUAAAUAUAUGUUAAAACACUUAUAGAUCAUGGCUAAAAGAGGGUAAAAUCCAUGGUCUAUCAACUUCCCCAGACUUACCCUUUUGUUUGUCCUCAAGCAAAACAGACGGACAGUCUCUCUGAAAGAGGUUUGAAAACAGCAGGGACUCACAUGAUUUAAAACUUAAACUCAAAAAUCAAUAUUUAUAUCGAGCAAUAACCAAAAUGAAAAAAAAACGACACAAAAAUGAGAAAAAUAUUGAAGAUAUUUAGGAUUGGCACGUGAACGUAAACUUCUCAUAACCAUAAUUAACUUUUAAAUUGCUAAAUCAUUAUAUAAAACAGAACUCUCAUAUUUUCAUUGUAACCAAAUAGUAGAUCUGAGAUUCUCUCGUCUAAAUGUUAGGUUCUUAUGCGAUAAAUGAAUUUUUGACCUAAGAUAUUUUUAAAAUAGAAUCAGCUCAUCAGUAAACAAAUUAUAUAAUUAACAAAAAAAAAAUUUUAAAUGAUUUAAGGGCCAAAAUUUAUUCGAUCAAUAAUAUAAAUUUUAUUUUUCCAUACGAUAUUUCUUAAAUAAUUCGUCCUACGCAAAGCGUACGUCUUAUCCAAGUAUACUUAAUAUAUUACCAAAAAAAUGUAUCCACAAGAUAUUAAUUUUACAGAAUUUUCCCAUUUUAUGUCUGAUUUGUUUCAGUUUGAUUUUCCUUUAAAAUUUUAAGGCUACAAAAAUGGAUAUCACUGAAUUAAUUUACGUUGUGUUAUUUAUUUUUUUGAAACUCAUUUACGUUGUGUUAAGUCGUAGAACCAUAGAACCAGGCCCGGCUUAAAUACAUUAUGGGCCUUGUGCAGACAUAUAUUUUUUCCCAAAAAUUAUAAGGAAAAAAGUUUCAUAGCUACCCGAAGUUUACACUAAUAUGGUGAAAACCAUCCAAUAUAUGAAAAUAUGUCUACAACAACACGAAGUUUAUGUUAAUACAUGUCACAUGUACGAAGUAAAUAAUAAUAUGGUAGCAACAUCACAAUUGGGUUUAAUUAAUUUUAAGCUAAGUUAAUGGGGUCAAUCCGUGAUUUACUAAACUUAAUAAACUUAAUAAUUUAAUAAACUUAAUAAACUUAAUGGUUUAUUAAGUUUCAUAAACUUAAUUUAUUUUAUUAAUAAACUUUAACUUAAAAACUUAAUAAUUUAUUAUACUUAAUAAAUUUAAUAAACUUAAUGGUUUAUUAAGUUUAAUAAACUUAAUUGAUUUUAUUAAUAAACUUUGUAAUUUAAUAAACUUUAACAUAAUAAACUUAAUAAUUUAUUAUACUUAAUAAGUUUAUUAAACUUAAUAAUUUAAUAAACUUAAUAAACUUAAACUUAACAAAUUUAUUAAACUUAAACUUAAUAAACUUAAUAAAUUCAUUAAACUUAAACUUAAUAAACUUCAUAAAUUCAUUAAAUUUGUUCAAUUUAUUAAGUUUAAUAAAUUUAUUAAGUUUAUUAAUAAAUGAUUAAGUUUAUUAAGUUUAUUAAUAAAUGAUUAAGUUUAUUAAGUUUAUUAAUUAAUGAUUAAUUUUAUUAAGUUUAAUAAAUUUAUUAAUUUUUAUAAGUUUAAUAAAUUUAUUAAUUUUAUUAAGUAAGUUUAAUAAAUUAUUAAGUUUAUAAACAAAAUCAAUUAAGUUUAUUAAAAUUAAUAAAUCAUUAAGUUUAUUAAGUUUAGUAAAUUACGGAUUGGCCUCACUAACUUAGUUUAAAGUCAAUUAAACCCGAUUGUGAUGUUGCCACUAUAUUAUUAUUUACUUCGUACAUGUACAUGUGACAUGUAUUAACAUAAACUUCGUGUAGUUGUUGACACAUUUUCAUACAUUGGAUGCUUUUCACCAUAUUAGUGUAAACUUCGUGUAGUUAGAAAACUUUUUUCCAAAUUAUAAUGAUAUUUCCUUAAAUUUACAAAUUAGGACUCUGUGCAUGUGCACCUUGAGCACACCCCAAGAGCCAACACUGAAUAGAACCAAAUAAGAAAGAUUUCUGAUAAAAAGAUUGUAUGAUUAUUUAGGAGACUAGAUUCCAUGUUGUGUGCCGUGCUGCCGUGCUGAAAAUACUUUUAGUUUUAUAACCCAUGUUCAAAAACACGGCCGAGUUGGCCGACUUCGCGCCGGUCAAACGUAAUUCGGUGGUGUUUUGCCGCGAUUUUGUGUUAUUCGGGUAAAAACUCGGAUUAAAAAAAUAUACAUAUUUUGACAUUUUCCAGUUUGAAAUCGGUUCUUUAAGCAUAGAUCUAUCAUAUUUCAUUGUUACCGAUCAAGAAUUGAAGUUAAUCGUCGAAGAAAAAAAUGAUUUAUGUUAAAAAUAAAUGAAAAACGGCUGUUAAUUAGGGUUGGAGAAAAAACAGGUCGGGAGGAAAAUGAUGAAAGUAAAAUUACAAAUGUGUCUUUCAUUAAUGAAAUGUUUAAAGAAAGAGCAAAAAAAUGGACAUUUUUGGGAAUUGAACCCGGGAGAAGAGAACUAGUUUUUUUAAGGACUUGCAUGCAUGAGAUUCUACGCGUACAGUUUUACGAUGCAAGUCCUUACGGUACAUUGUAAAACUGUACCGACAUCGUCAAUGUUUAGUCUACGCGUACGGUUAUAACUCACUAGUUAUUUAUAUUAUUAUUAUUAAUUUAUUAUUAUGGCGGAGUCGUCACAUGCAUGCAUGAGAUUCAUUCAUUCAUAAUGUCACACUCACACACUAUCCAUUCCCCUUUUUUUUUUGGACUCUUUUUUUUUUGUUAUAAAGAAAAUAAAAUUCUUAAAGUGACAGACUUCACGGGUUACACUGUGUUACUACCCGCCAAAUUCUACCCGCCACCUUUUAAAUUUCAUUUUAGUUUCUUCACCGUCAAUAAAUCGUCAGGACAAAAUAAAUACUUUUACAUUUCAUUGUUUUAUCGUACCAAGUGUGGUCAGUAUCUCUAAUAAUUUUGAAGAAUAUUUAGAAAACUAGUUAGAUUAUAAUUUUCGACGAUGUUAAUAUAUAUGUCGAAGUAAAUAAGGUAAAAAAAAAUGGUUCGUUUAUGGUUUUAUAUGGCAUUUAAAUUUUGAAUAUUGACUAUCAGAUUCAGUAUAUCAUUUAGAAUAGAAACAAAAGUAACCUAAAACUUAUAGAUUGAACUUCUUUUCAGAAUGUAUAUGCAGAGCCGGUCCUAGUGUAUUUGAGGUUACAAGCUAAAAAAUAAAAAAUGGCCGAAUUUUUUUUUUUUUUGCACUAGGGAAUUAUCGAACCUUGCUCUUUCAGACUAGACAUAUGUUGAUUCAACCACUAGACUACACAAGUUUUUGAUAAUUUUGUGGCCGCUUUUAUAUUUAUAAAGUGGCGGCCGGAAGUCCAUGCUUCACCAGCUUGGGCCCAAGACCGGCACUGUGUAUAUGGCACUGUGUAUAUGCAUUUACAGCUUUAGUAUCCUUUGAAUUAUUAAUUAUCAAAAAAAAAUUGUAUCCUUUGAAUUAUCGAUUAUACUAGCCAGAAUUAGUACAUGCUGACCUAUUUACAUUAUAUUUGAAAUCCCAUAGUGAAUACGCGCACCAUGACUAGUAUUACUAUUAUUGUAUUAUAUUAUAUUUACAUUAAUAUGUAAUAUGAAAAAACUAUAAAGAGAAUCAUCAGUCACGGACAUCAUGACUCAAUCACUCUAAGCUAGAAUGCUAGAUACGGAAUAUCUUUCAGAAGCGUGGGACUAAAAUAUUACAAGAAAUAGCUUCGAACAAUUCACAGAAGCUAGCAUGGUGAAAAAUAAUCUUGAACCCAACAGACUACUUUUGGUCGGGAACCCCAAUAAGUUGGAACUUUGUUCAAGAUUUAUCAACCUAUAUUUGUAUAUGAAUAGUUGAAUAGUGUAUAUCCCAAGAACUGAUUCUCUUUUUCCUAUUUGUAUAGGCAAAGACAUAAACUAGCACCCAAGAGAACUUGCCUAUGAUCCUCUCUCUCAAAAAAAUGUGGACCUAACAAGGAAGGAACAAGACAAAAAGAGUGAGAACGAUUUUUUUUAUUAUAUCUUGUAACUAUAUAGAGAAUGGGAGGUGUCUCGUAAGUCAAGUAGUAAUGACAAAACCCCUUCAUAAAUUGUCUACCCACUGGGCACUACACUACAAGAACCUUUGGUUGCUCCCAUUGUUUUCACCUAUAAAUUACAAAUAUGACUAUGCCUAAGGUUCUUAAGAAACCUAAUAUAACGAAGGUUUAAGUUAGUGGCUUCUAAAAGCUUAGACUAUGCAUUCUCUAAUAUUGAUUAUAGACUAAACAUUGACAAUGUCGGUACAGUUUUACGCGUUGGCUUUAGAUAUUAUAAGGACUUGAUCUGAGGUUUAGUUAAAAUAAGGUGCAAGACAUAAGACAUGAUUCUUAAAAGGUACUAGCUUAAGACCCGCGCAAUUGCACGAGGUGAAUGUUAUAUAUAAAACUAAUUUUUAUCUAUUAUUAUUUAUUUAUAUUCAUUUACGUAUUAUGUAUAUAAUUAAAUUAGAGUAAGAACAUAAAUCAAAACAAUACAUCUUGUUUAUUUACGAUACUUUUUUGGUAAAUAAAUCAAAACAAUCAUUUUAUUUAUUUUCUAUGGUAUAUAACUAAAUUUCAGUAACAUGGACAUAGAUAUAUAGUAUAUUUUAAUAUAAAUAUUUAUUAUUGAAAAUUCAUACUCAUAUGAUAAACACAAAAUUUCUAAUGUGCGAUUUUUUAAUGCAAAUUUUAAAAUUUAAAUAUUAAGGUUUCAAUACUUUUUCAAUAUAAAUUUAGAAAUUAUCAUAUUUAAGUAUUAUUCUAUGUUAUAUAGUUUAAUUUUAAACUAUAUUAUUAUAUAAUAUGAAUGUCUAGCAAAUGAGACUUCAUAUUCAUACGAUUUAUGAUCAUUUGUAUCUUGUUAUUACCAAAACAAAGUUAAACCAUUGAUCACAAAAUUUUAGUGUGAGACAUUUAACGUUUUUAAUAAUUUAUAGUCGUUUUAGAAAUUCAAAAUAUAACAUAUAUUUUUUUAUUAUUAUUAUAUGGUUAAUGUUGUUGUUUAAUAUUUUUUAAUAAUAUAAAAUUAAACAAAAAAGAGCUAAGAUACAAAAUUUAUUAUCAAAUAUUUAUUAUUCAUAAUCAUUAAUUAUCAUAUAUACAUUAAUCAUAUUAAGCAACUCCGUAGCUUUUAUUUAAGGAAAGUGCGAGAAUAUUAUUUUGUACACUAUUUAUAAAUUUAAUAGUUAGUUUAAUAAAAAAAUAUAAUAUAAGUUAAGAUAAACCAACCUAUUUUUCUAUGAAUUCUGAAAUUCAUUCUCAUGGUCACACGUGACUACAAAAUAAUGUUGUAAUGUUUCACAAUUAAUAUAUAAAAAAGAUUAUUGGCAUGCUUCACGAAGCUAAUUUUUGACCAAAUAUGCAAAUAUAAACUAUGGAAAUUUCUUAGGAACAUACUAGUAAUGAAAAUCAUUGGAGAUCGUACUAUCGUUAUUCGUUACUGAUUCUUUUGCAAAAAUAAACAUAUAAGAAAUGAUUAUGCUAGUUUAUGUUGCUGAGUGCUACAGUUUAUGGGUCUGACCGGUGACCAUUCAUAAAACAAGAGGAACAACAGAAAAAGAAUAUACCGGAAAAAAAUAGCAAGAAUGAAAGUGAAUGGUUAUUGCUUCUCAAAUUUAAUAAGGAAUAAUUUUAUUUUUUAAUUUUCUACAAAAAAAAAGAACGAAAAAGAAUGAGAUAGAAUUAUUAUUCCUUGUGAAUGGUGAUUUUUUAUAGGAACGUUAGAGAAUGCAUUAUUUCCCAUCAUUUCUUGGUCACCUUUCGUAAAAUAGUGUUGUUUUUCUAAUUAAGCAUUUUCAUGUUUUUGUUUUUCUAAACAUUUUCAUGUUGUUUGUUUUUCUAUACAUUUUCAUGUUACGGUAUAUAUAGGCUGAGCAUGUCCAAGCUAUUCAAAAUUAACCGAAUCGUGGAACAGAUCCAGUAACUAGCUAAUUCAUAGUUCUAUUAAAAUUGAGGUUAAGUAUAUAAAAGAAAAAAAAAACAAAGAAAUGAAUAGUAACAAAACUAGAGAGAGAACAGAAAGGAAUAGAGAUUUUGCCGAAACUUUUCUAAGUACAGUGUCUGAGUAUUUUUUUGGUAAUCAUGUUAAAUCAGUGUCUGAGUUCUUCAAACCUUCUCAGACUUGUCGUUUGUAAUUAAUCAUUAUCUGGCCGAUUAAAAAUGAUUAACGUAUUUGAUUUCGUGUUUUCCGAAUGCUUUCACACUAACCAAUUACAUUUUCACAAAAUUUACAAAUAGGUUCGUAGAGCAUGCAGCCAUGUGAUGAGCACAAAAGUGAACAAUUCUUUAGCAGUUUACUUAUAUCAACGUAAAUAGCGAAUGUUAUUCCUAAAUUUCCCUGAAAAGAUAAGAAUCUACGACUACAAAGAUACGCCAAUUUAGGAAAGUAUGACAAACCCUUUAAUUUCGUUUUGGAACUAAGUGACCUUAUACCUGCUUAAUAAAAUCUAAUAUUCCAAUCAUCUAAUCACAGUUUGGUGCUUACACUAUUAAAAAUAAACAAAUAUCGGCGAAUACUUUUUCUAUAAAAGGGUGCACACUAUCAUAUACCUACUUACUAAGUCGUUUACACAACCCAAACCCUCAUUCUAAGAGAUGGGGUCUCACACACAAAACCUCUCUUUUCUUAUCCUCCUUCUCCUAGGCUUCCUUGCUGUCUCAUUCGCUUGCGAAUGUAGCCCUCCUAAACCAUCUCCGAGACCCCACAAACCGCCUAAACAUCCCGUCAAACCGCCUAAACCACCAGCAGCCAAACCACCAAAACCACCGGCAGUAAAACCUCCUAAACCCCCCACCAAACCUCCCACCCUUAAACCACACCCCCACCCUAAACCUCCCACCGUUAGACCACAUCCACACCCUAAGCCCCCUACCAAACCUCAUCCCAUCCCAAAACCGCCCACCGUUAAACCACCACCCUCCACACCCAAACCGCCCACAAAACCACCCACCGUUAAACCACCUCCAUCCACCCCUAAGCCGCCCACCAAACCACCCACCGUCAAACCACCACCCUCCACCCCAAAACCGCCCACCAAGCCACCCACCGUCAAACCACCUCCGUCCACCCCUAAACCACCUACCCACAAGCCACCAACAGUGUGCCCACCGCCAACACCAACACCAACCCCACCUGUUGUAACGCCACCAACACCACCAACACCAACUCCACCAGUCGUUACGCCACCAACACCAGCCCCACCUGUUGUAACGCCACCAACACCAACACCACCGGUCGUAACGCCACCGACACCAACCCCUCCUGUCGUAACACCUCCAACACCACCGGUCGUAACGCCACCGACACCAACUCCUCCUGUCGUAACACCACCAACACCACCGGUCGUAACGCCACCGACACCAACCCCUCCUGUCGUAACACCUCCAACACCACCGGUCGUAACGCCACCGACACCAACCCCUCCUGUCGUAACACCACCAACACCAACUCCACCUAAGCCAGAAACGUGCCCAAUCGACACGUUGAAGCUAGGCGCUUGUGUAGACGUUCUUGGAGGUUUAAUUCACAUCGGGCUUGGUGGAAGUAGCGCCAAGAAAGAGUGUUGUCCGGUUUUGGGAGG
rnacentral:lncRNA from 1 species